GAAGAUGUGCAUCAAUUCAAACCAGAGCGAUUCUCAGAAGGUGUAGCUAAAGCUACCAACAACAAGGCGGUUGUGUUCAUCCCCUUCGGCUUUGGACCUCGAUCUUGUGUCGGGAUGAGCUUCGUGAUGACUGAAGCGAAAGUCGCCCUUUCGAUGAUUCUCCAACGCUACAGCUUUGAGUUGUCCCCAGCGUAUAUCCAUAGCCCAGCUCAUAUCGUCAUGAACCGACCGCAACAUGGACUUCAAAUCAGAUUUCAUCCUCUGCAGUAGUUCAUCAACAUAUGAUGUUCAGUUGCAAAUGUGCAUAAAUGCCUCCAUAGAUCAAUUUGACAAUGGCUCGUGAAUUCUUGGCUCCAGAGGCUUGUGAUAUGUAUGAAGGUAUAAAGAACAUCUUUCUCUUAAUUUGCAUAGUAGUUUCUCAGCAUAUAAUGUAUUUGGUUUGCCAAGACUCUUCAUGAUGUAAAAUCUUGUGUCCUAGUUCUUGUAAGUCGUCAAUUUGUAGGCAUGUACCUCCUCUGUGUGUGGCUCUAUGUGGUCGAAUGUCUAAUGAUUGGCUGGAUGACAAGAAUUCAAUUGUCUUACGUAAGCUGCUCUAUAGACUAUGGGAACCAAGUUUAUUUUAACAAUUGAUGACAUGAGCUCUAUUAUUGGACCAUAUAAUUAAUGGUUUAGAUGAUAAAGAAACUGCAGCUAGUCCCUCGUGAGAGAGAGAGAGAGAGAGAGGAAUUAGCGGACAACGAAGGUGAUGACGAACGUGGUGCGUGCAGGCCACCUCAGGUUAGCAAAGUCAAUGACAGCGUCGUGAAGAAGGUAGCAAUAGAACGCUAUGUGCUCGAGGAAGAAAAAUGGAGAAAGGGGAAACGUCAGCUGAAAUGAUAAUAAUUAGUUUAAGGUGUGAAUUUAUCAGAGGGCUUCAAUCCAUAAAACAUUCAAUAUUAAUGAUGUCAAUGUUGAUAAAAUAAUGGAGGUUCGUGUUAGAAUAUUUCACCAGACUGAGUUGAGGGCAACUGAACCCAUUCAAGUGGCACCGCCACCAAGUGCCAUUACAAAAUGUCCCUAACCAAUCUUUGAUUUCCAAGAUGUUGAUAUUCUAUCAAACUCGACGAGUAGAUUAAUCCAGUGUUCUCCAAAUCUCAACCCCCAACUUUCUUGAGACGAAAGUUCGUGAAAAUUCUCAUCCACAGUGUUCAGAAAUGUAGGUUUUUCAGGAAUUUCGAGACACUGUACAUCUUUUCAGUGGUAAAGAGAGACAUGAAGUGAUCUUGAAAGAGAUCAGUAAUGAGUUCUUCCUAUCCUUUCCCCAUCGUUCACGAGUCUAAGAGUGGUAUUAUAUCCUCUCCUGGCAAUGGUUAUUGUGUGAAAAAAUUUGUUAUUUUUCUAGAUCAACAGGAAUUUGCAGGCCUGGAACCUUUUCCGAAUCUCUUUUUGUUAUGGAACACGUUACCAAAUUUGGUCCUGUUCCUAUCUUUAACCUCUUUUAUAAUAGUAUCUAUGGCUCUUUGCAAAUCAAUGUCUCCAACAUUACAGAUGUCUUACUAGACUUUUGGAUCUUUAGCUUACAAUCUGCGAGCAAGAUCAGGGUUUUUAUUUGUUAGAAAGCCCAAGUAAAGAAUUUUAAAUGACCAUGUCUAUAGAAUAAACUCAUGAAGAGCAGGUCCAUACAUCAAUUGGGCAGGGUUAACUAAAUUACCAUGUUAGAUAGUCCAAUUCAAAAGUUAGCUUAUGGAUGAAAAUACCACUUGUAUACUAAUAUGGAUGAUUUUUUUUUUUUUUUUUGGUGUGUGAAAAACACAUGGACUUUUAGUAACCAAAUAUCUCGUCACUAAAAGUACAAAGUUCUUUGUGUCAACUAUUCAACAACGAAACAAGCUGACACUAAAAGUAAAUAUUUUUAUUGCCCCGACGCUCUAGCUAAGAAAUUUCAUGGCCCAAAGUACAGAGUUUUUUGGACUAUUUCGUUAGUUUCAAUCGUGCCAUGAAGGACGACCAGUAUCCAUGUCAAUAAUUUCCAACCAAAAUUAACUGGAAGGCCUACAUUGGUAAAUUGUCAAAAGAUUUAUGACUAAAUUGACCAAAUUAAAAUAUUUAUGAUUGAAUUGACUCAAGUACAAUAAAAUUAAGAAUUUUUGAUAAUUUUCCUAGUUUUUCUAGGCCUCAUUUCAUUUGCCACGAAGUUCUGCAUCACUGGAGUUACAAUUAUCUGUAGAAUUUUCGUCACCAAUGGAGAAAGUAUUAUGUGCAUUAUUGAUCCCAACUCUUAUAUAGAUGUGGUAUCACUAAAUCAAUAAUCUCCUUAUAAUUUCUUUGACAAUCACCAAAUCUUUAAUGUUACAAUUUUAGAAGAUAUAUGAUUGGCUUGACAUUGGUACGAUACAUUACUCAUAAAUGAGUCGUUGAAACACGCGGAAGUUCUUGUAUAAACUUGAUCUCCAGCACCAAAGUUUUAACAAAUGAAGAUACAUUACAAUAUGAUAAUGCCAGUAUGAACACUUAAAGAGGGGGGGUGAAUAGGUGUUCAAAAUAAAUUUCAAUAAAUAAAUGAGGUAUAAAAUAAAUUUCGAACAAAGUUUGAGUAAUGAAUAGAAUCUGAUAAACAAGCCAUUAGACUUCUGGUGAUGUUCAGAAUUAGAUAAGAGAUUGAACUAUUUUUUGAAAUACCUAUAAGAAUGCAAUAGAUUUAAAUAAGAAGAAUUAAAGGAAGAGAAUAUUGCACAUGAAAUUGAUAGUGAUCCAGCUGAGAUCAAGCCUACAUUCAAUCUCACACGUUGACAGCCUUUUGGCUGGGAUUUACAAUAGCAUUAUUAUAGAAGUACAAUUUAUGAGUGCAAACACUUAGUGGAAGAUCCUUUUUCAUUCAAUAAGUCACUCUUUUUUGUGAUUUUCUCUCUUGAAUAUAAUUUAUAAAGAUUGCCGAAGAUGAACAAGUAGUUGAAAAUAUUUCAGAUUUUGGAAUUUCAAUUUUCACGUCCACACUUCAAAUAGAUUAAAUGACCUUCUUAAAUACUCAUCCAUGCCUCACUAGCUGUUGAUAUUUUUCGGAGGAAUUUCUUUCAAUCAAUCCUUUGACAGAAUUGAUUAAGAAGAUCUUAUAGCUAUUUGAAGAUUGAGAUGGAAAAUCCAUGAUUCUGGUCGCCCAUGAAAUCAAAAUAUAAGUUUCCACAAGUAGAUGCUUCCCAAAAAGGAACUUGUCUUCAAGAUUGAUUUCAUCAAUUUGUGAUUAAUUCUAUCAAUAGAAAGAAAGUGAGAUUUUUCUCCAGAGAGCUAGAUGUUGUAGAAUAAAUUCCUAAUAAGUUCAUUUUGAAUCAUUGUUGCAAUAUCAAUAAAUCUGAGUCUAAUUUUAUCCUUGUUCUGGACACAAUUUUAAUCUGGAUUAUGUCACAAUGGAAAAUAUUUUUGGAAUGAAUAGAUUUUAGCAAAAGUCGUCAAUAUAACUUCAAAAGUAUUUAAAAAAAAUUAGAAAAUUUUGUCAACUUUAAAACUUAGUAUGAGUUUUCUCAACAGGAUCCAAUCCAUAUUGACCAAAAAAAAAAAAAAGGCAGAAACUCCCAUGAAAUUUACCAACCUUGCCAUUAAUUAGUUUUGUCCAUGAUAAUUACGAAAUUGUAAGUACAUGAACCGAUCCCAACGUUAUUUAACAAGGAUCUUUCUUUUUCCCCAACAGUACGCUACUUUAUUGAUAUGUAAUGCUUUUAUUGACUUUUUAUGAGCACGUGGGUUUCGGUUUCCAUCAUGCGAUCAUCUGGAUGUGGCCCGAGAAGUUAGCUAAAUCCUUUUCGGAUCCCGAGGAAUAGUGGAUCUAGCAAUGAACCCAGAAAAGUACUUGAUUGUGAAUGGGCUAGGGAAGGUAAUGCCUACAAGCUCCAGCAUUUUUAAUCUCUGUCAGUUGAGAUGGCGAUUUUAGUUACACAAGACCGAAAGCCAAUGUCGGAUAGUCUUGUCGACCUAACAAGGUUUGCUUAGAUUAUGGUAGGUGGUGAUUAUAAAAAAACAUGAAUACCAAUUAUCUGUUUUUUAAAUAGGAAAAUUUUUCAAAAAGCCCUAAACCUACGACACUUUUGCCCUUUUAUUAUUAAAUCCUUCAAUUUUGUUAAUUGAAUUCGAAACAUUUUUACUUUUUACCAAAUGAGUCAAUUCAACCACUUUAGGCUGGAAUUUGUCGACGUGGAUGCUAGUUGUCUUACGUGACACGGUUGGUGCUAAUGUGGACAAAAUUUAUUAUAUUUAAAUAUUUUUUUGAAUUUUUUAAAUAUUUUUUAUUUCUUUUUCUCUUAUUUUCUUUUCUUUUUUCCUCUCUUUUCUUCCUUUGUUAGUUGCCCAGCCUCUAGUGACUGGCUAGAGGUUGUGACCGGUGAGGGUUGGCCUCGUAGACCUCGCGGGUGUUGGGCAAGGCUCAUCCUCACCCGAUCUCGAUGAGGGCAACCUUGUGUGAGGCCGGCAAGGUCGCCCCUUGCUCGGAGGGCUGAUCUCAUCAAUUGUAGCCUCUAGCCGAUAGUUGGAGGUUGGCUAAGCGGCAAAGGAAGAAGAGAGAGGAAAAAAAAGAAAAGAAAAGUAAUUGAUGAUAAAGAGACUAUAGGUAGCCUCACCCAAUCCUGGCGAGGGCCACCUUCUGUGAGGCUGACGAGGUUAGCCCUCGCCUGAUGGGCCGACAUCAUCGAUCGCAACCUCUGGCCAAUUGUCAAAGGCUAGGCAAUCGGCAAAGGAAGAAGAGAAGGAAAAAAAGAAAAGAAAAAAAUUCAAAAAGUAAUUGAUGGUUUAGAUGAUAAAGAGACUGUAGCUAGUCCCUCGUGAGAGAGAGAGAGAGAGAGAGAGAGAGAGAGAGAGAGAGAGGAAUUAGCGGGCAACGAAGGUGAUGACGAAUGUAAUGCGUUCAGGCCACCUUAAGUUGGCAAAGUCAAUGACAACGUUGUGAAGAAGGUGGCAAUAGAACACUAUGUGCUCGAGGAAGAAAAAUGGAGAAAAGGGGAAAUAUCGGCUGAAAUGAUAAUAAUUAGUUUAAGGUGUGAAUCUAUCAGAGGGGUUCAAUCCAUAAAAGAUUCAAUAUUGAUGACAUGAACAUUGAUAAAAUAAUCGAGGUCGACGUUAAAAUAUUUAAAUGAUAAAUUGCGCUUUCAUCAAAUAACUUAAGUUUUUAAAAUAACUAGUAGCAAUUAUACAAAAUCUAACAUGGUAUCAAAGCUGUAGAUCCUAAGUUUAAAUUUUUUUCAAAUCCCAUUUGCCCCCCUAAUUAAGGGCGCAUUUGGUAAUGUUUUUAUUCCGAAGAACAAUUUUUAAAUAGAAAUAGUUUUUUUUUUCUGUUCCCAAGAACAAUUUUUGAUUUUAAGAACGCGCUUGGUAACUGCACAAAAUUUCUACUCCCGAGAAAGAAAUGCAUUUGGUAAAAUUGUAUAAUUUUAUUAUUUCUUUUAGUUUUUAAAUAUUUUUAUUAUAUUUUCCUUUUUUUUUUCUUCUUUCUUCUUUCUUUUUUCUUUUCUCUCAUUCUUCCUCUUUGUGGCUGGUCGCCAACGGCUAGCUGGACGAGGUCCAAUGAGCUCGUUAGAGCCUCACCUAACCACCGGUAAGGCUCGGCCUCACCUAGAUCUGGCGAGGCCGAGCCUCCUAGUGGCCUGGUGAGUACCGCGAGGCUCGGCCUCGCCAGUGGCCUCGGUGGCCAGGUGAGCCUCGCCUGAGCUGGGUGAGCACGAGGCUGACCUUGCGCCGAUCGACGAGGCCAAGCCUCGCCAUGCUUGGCCCAGCCACAGAGAGGCUCGGGCCAACAAGCCUUGCCAUGGCGUGGCGUCUCUAGGGGCCAAUGACCCUUCGGCAAGGUUACCGGCCCUCGUCUGGUUGGUUGCUGGCGCUGGCCAUGGCCAAGGCUGGCAACUGGCCAAAAGAAAAAAGAAAAAGAAGAAAGAAAGAGAAGAAAAGAGAAGAGAGAGAAAAAUUGUUUAUCCAAAUUGUUCCCGGGAACAAGAAGCAACUGUUUUUUACUUUUUGUUUCUAUUCCAAAUCUGUUCUCGGGAACAAAAAAAUAGAUCUUUUAUUCUCGGAAACAACAAUUUUACCAAACACGUUUUUGUUCUUUUAUUGUUCCCCGGAACAAAAGAACAAAAAAAUUUGUUCUGGGAAAUAAAAAUUUCUGUUACGGGGAACAUAAACAUUUUUUUACCAAACAGGGCUUAAAUUUCCACACUUAAUUUAGGCAAAAGAUCAAACCAAGCAUGAGGGGGAGUGUUAGAAUAUUUAAAUGAUAAAUCAUGCUUUCAUCCCCAAUUAAAUUUCUACACUUAGGUUAGGUAAAAGAUCAAACUAAGCAUGAGGGGAAGUAUUAGAUUAUUUAAAUGAUAAAUUAUACCUUCAUUAAUAGCUAAAAUNNNNNNNNNNNNNNNNNNNNNNNNNNNNNNNNNNNNNNNNNNNNNNNNNNNNNNNNNNNNNNNNNNNNNNNNNNNNNNNNNNNNNNNNNNNNNNNNNNNNGAGAUGAUCCUAUAGACUGGUUGCAGGCUAAUGUAAAUUUUGGUAUGUUACAUUGUUGAUUUAGUUCUUGAACAUUCUAUAAAUUUAUCUGUCAUAUGAUAGAUCUAUGCAAGGGCAUGCUUCUCACUACUUAUGUUUGUAUAAGUUAUGAGGGAAAUUGAAAUCUAGUCAUAUUUAAAUGAAAUUCGUUGAUGCUACGAUAAUCCUGGUUGAGGCACCUAGUUUGUCUCUGAUUCAGAGUUAGCUUUCAUGCUUUUGGAUUUUGGUCUGUCCGAAGAACAUCUUUUUUGUUACGCUUGAAAGGAAUAUGGCCUUAUGGUGAACAGUCAAGCGAUUCCCUGCACCAUCUAACAUCAAUUUGGCACAUCCUAUAUUUUCGGCUGUAAUAUGUCAAGCAAUGUUUUCCAGUAAAGGACACUUGUAGACAACCAACUCAAUCAAAAGCUCAAUUUGGCAAGGCCCUCAACAACCUGCAGCCUGGAGCACGCAUAGACGUGCAAAUGUUGAAGGUUAUUCAAGCCCGAUAUACCACUUAACUUUUCUAUAGCUUUGCACCCUUCUAUAUAGAAGUACAUUUUCCCAGUGCUUCACUAAAAGUUUUUUAAGUUUCUUUAAAGCAUUGGCAAGAAAUACUCCUGGUGCACAAAAGGUUGACUCACUCGAAGAAGACUUGGAUUGAUUGAGGACCCCAAGAGAUCUAACUCAUCGCAUCCUAUCCUUUUAAUUGACCCACGGGCAUCCAUUGAUCUAGUAAUCACAGCAUACCAAGAAGCUCAGUCUCAAUCAGCUUGAAGCAAUUGAUUACUGCCAGUGUCCUUAAGCUAGAUGGCAUUAAUAAUCUCUCAAGGUGACAUGCGGUCAACUUAAGUGCUCCAUCGAGUUAAAUGUCUUGCAAUCUGACAUUAACCAGGAGUUGAACUGGACAGAAUUAUCAAGUUGCAUAGUGGCAAACCUCUCAGGUUGAAAUUGUAAAGGUCUAAGGAAAGUAAAGAAGGCAGUAGCUGCAUGAGAGGUUGCAGGUCUAGUCUACACAAAGCAAGAUUUUUUUGAAGAGAAAGGGACCCAACUCUAUAGGUGGUGCGGUGAUAUUGAGAAGACACGGUUCCAACUUCUUCGGUCUGGAUAGUCUUCCAGUCCAUCCCAAGUCAUAUGUGUGCAUUAGGUCUAAUGCGGAUUGACAUUCAGAGCCUUAGAUAGGAUCAACUCUACCAAAUUCAUAAGCUUUGAGAGAUUUAGGACUACCUGCAGUCAGUAAGAUUUAACACAUAAACAGACUAAACACAAUGGAAGCUCAACCAACUCUUCAAUCACAUCACACCAUGUCGAGAUGACCAUUGAGAGGUGAGAAAGCACGUAAAUUGGACGGCCAAGAUUCUGGAGCCACAAAUUUCAAGGAUCUUUAAAGCUUACGUUUUGUAUUUUGGUAGGAUCCAGCCCUUGAUCUCAUCGACCUUCAUAAGAGCUUCCUACCAGGAUUCUACAUUGUAAAGAAACUUGUUCUAGCGUUCAAGUAUGGCCAUCUAGUUUAAUGGGGUUUUAAGCUCAACAUCAUCAAGCUCCACAUCAUCAAAAAUGGGUAGGAUCUGUUUUUCCCUCUGACAUGUAAGAAACUUAGUUUUGUCUUCCUCGUGGCUUCUUGNNNNNNNNNNNNNNNNNNNNNNNNNNNNNNNNNNNNNNNNNNNNNNNNNNNNNNNNNNNNNNNNNNNNNNNNNNNNNNNNNNNNNNNNNNNNNNNNNNNNNNNNNNNNNNNNNNNNNNNNNNNNNNNNNNNNNNNNNNNNNNNNNNNNNNNNNNNNNNNNNNNNNNNNNNNNNNNNNNNNNNNNNNNNNNNNNNNNNNNNNNNNNNNNNNNNNNNNNNNNNNNNNNNNNNNNNNNNNNNNNNNNNNNNNNNNNNNNNNNNNNNNNNNNNNNNNNNNNNNNNNNNNNNNNNNNNNNNNNNNNNNNNNNNNNNNNNNNNNNNNNNNNNNNNNNNNNNNNNNNNNNNNNNNNNCAGCGCAUAGAGGUCGAGAGUUUGAAAUCCUGCGAUGCUAACGAUUCAAGCGGGGGCCCUGGCAGUGGGUUGUUGGGCUAGUCUCCCCUGAGGUAUAGUCGUUGUAGGUUCUCACCGCGGAAGCCCGUGAGACCCCAAAUUGGCAUAAGCCGACAAGGGCAUGCUCCGGCGGAUCCUCAGUCAUCAAAAAAAAAAAAACACACAGCUCACACAUUUUAACUCUGCAUAAGCAAGUGAUGAGACAGCUGGCAAAAGGAACUAAAUUAGAAUAAACAACACAAUAGAAACUCAAUUGCAAAUGUAUUUGCGUUUGAAUUAGUGGUCUGCCAUGGUUAAUAUGUGGUCCAGAAGUUCGAUUCCUGCUUCCAAGCGAAAGAAAUGAAGAACUUGGAUGCGUAAUUGGUCAGAUACUUUACUUCUAAACAAUUAGGGAUACUCUACUCCUUAACAAUUAGGGGCGAAAAGUAGGUCUGAUGCAUAUCAACUGCAUUUAUCAACCAUGUUCACCGACUGCAGAGUCUCGAGUAAUUGGAACAGUUCAAGUUUUUGCUUUUUUUCCUUCCACAAAGCAAAACUUUAGUGAAAUAACAAUCGUUGAGAGGAGGAUGAUUGGAUCCAAGUCAUAGAAUGGCUAUAAUAGUCCUCAUGGACCUGAUCUUUGUUGGAUUAUAAUGUCUCAAUGCUGCUGUUUUCUAUUCUAUUUUACUUUGUUUUCCUCUGUUUUUAUUUUUAAAAAAAACAGCCAAGUUCAUUUAGUUAUGUAUUUAGUGUUUUUGUUAUUUUCUAGGAAGUUAAUAGCACGUUUGUGUGCAGUUAUGUGUUUCAUGUACGUGAGCAGUUUUUUGUUUUGUGUUUAGUGGCUGUACUUGACAGUUUCUUUAAGAAAACUGACGUACGUAAGUUUGUGCUCUGUUUUCUCUGUGCUUCUCUUCCUUAUUCAAAAAAUAUAGCUUCUGGUUUUUCUGUUUCUAGUUUACUGUUUUGAUCAGUAACAACAGUGGUAUCAGAGCGUGUAUGAUCUUGAAGGACUGUGAAGUGAAGCAAGUAUCGUGUGCACACAUUUUUGCAUGCCUUAGAACAUAAAUCAUCCAUUCACAAUAAUUCAGUUGAAAAUUUACAGAUAAGCAAUGUGAUUGAUAUUUUAAAUAAAUUAAAUUACAAUAAUUUGAAUACUAGCUUAAGACAUAUGCCUGAAAUGAUCGAAUAGUGAUCUUCCUAGUGACUAUUGAAGAUAUUAUUAACCCCUCGGAUGGUGUUGUUGAUGUUAAAAGGUCUCAUUUACUUCAUUUCUAAAUUUCUGCACAAAUAUGACCACACUAAUGUGAAAUAUAUAAAAUCAUUGAUGACAUGAAGUCUAAUAACCUAGACAGGGAGAAAAAACAGGACAUAGCUAGAGACAAUAUGCUUACCAGUAGGUCAUAGGCGAGGAUGAUGUUGUUGCUUUUAAGACGACAAGAGAUGAAACGAUACUAAAUUUGUCAAACGAGACCAAAGAAGAGAGUACUAGCAUCCACUGAGAACAUUGCCUGAGAGCUUUGAUACAGCAAGAUUGCCAUCAAAAGGUGAGACGCAGGUGCCUAACAGCUUUGAUACUAGAAGGAUGUAUGAUAUCUUCGGUUUCGUGGGGAUAUAUCAAGCUCAUUUGCACAUUUACUCAUAAAAAAAAUGAAGUUGGUAUUUAUGCCAAACAAAAACCCUAAUCACGCAGAAGUCCAGAAAUUUCACCUUUGCAAACGCAUCCCUUAUCCCUAUACUAGAUAGGCUUUGUGCAAUUACUAACAUUUGACUUGAACACAUAUAUCAAAUAGACGUGCACCCUCCACUUGCAGCUGGGUCCGUGCAAUACAAAUGUCAAGGAUAACAUCCCAUACAAAACCAUAACUUUUGGAGAAGUGGAUAUAUUAUAUGUCAAAAGUUUCGUGCAUAUAAAGCUCCACAAGGCAUUGCAUUGCCAAUCUCAAACCACAAAACUUGUCUGAUGAGUAGUAACAAGACGGAAAACCACCGCAGGAACCAUUAGCCAUAUCAGCAAUUUUAGCGAAUAAUGAAAGGACUCAAUAGCCCAUAUCAUUUAAUUCCAGAUUAAGCCACUUUAGUUCUCUUGACUUGUACCCCUUUUUUUCAAUUGCAUCAUCCUUUUUCUCUUGUAAUCAACUCCUCUAACUUAAUUUAUAAAUUUGAUCCUUUUGUGACCUACCACUACUUGCGCCUUUAAACAUUGAGUGACCAUGUUAAGUGGACUCACUUAAAUGAUGUGACCAAACACUUCAUCUAGUCUAUUUUUUCAGCUUUCACACUACACUUCAAAAUGUACUCGAUCGAGAAAAACUUAAGAAAGAGGAGAAAAGAAAAAUAAAAUUCCAGCAAAUGGCAUACGAACGGUACAUUAGGCAACCGAUUUCUAGGUAGAGUGCCAUCAGCAUUCUCUCUCUCUCUCUCUCAACCAAGUGCAAAUAAUUCAGCUAUCGAUGACUUUAUGGAUAAAAAAAAAAAUCAACUAUAAAGCACUAAGGGGGUGCGAACCCAUGUGCAAAAAGAGCCCAAAAAGUAAAAGCCACAUACAAACAGCUCAAAACCAAAAAGGAGCUCAAAUACAAGACGAUUAUGGACUAUGUCAACCAAGGAAGGCACUUACAUCCAUACACAAGUCUCCACUACCCCAAAUGUGGAUAAUUUCAAGCCAAUUUUCAAUAAAAAUAGAAAUGAAAGAUUGUUCUUCAUCAGAAUCUCUCUUAUUCCGCUCCAUUGAAAUCUACCAAAAGAAUUAUUAAAUUUAUUUCUCAAGUUUGAGCCAUGUACAAUUAUCUCUCUUUUUUAUGGGAUGCCUGCUCGUAGGCUUCACACACAACCUGUUGAGCUGCUUAUUAGCCCAUGAUGGGAUUGGCCACCCUUCCUGAUCACCCCUGUCCACAUUACAAAGAUAUCCAAUGUAUUAUAUCGUGGCAAACUCACGUCCUUCCCCGAGGUAAGCACCCUUUUUUUCUCUCUAUUUUCCUAUUUUGUAGCAUAUUUUUAUUCUUUUAUUUGUCAUCAAUUUUUGUCUUUUUCACAUUGAAAUGAUGGCAAAUAAAAAAAUAAAGAUGCCAAUUUUUUUUUUUUUAAAGUGCCUACUUCGAAAAAGGAGGUGAAUUUGCCAAUAUAGAAUGCAAGCAAAAUCUUAGUGAUGUCGAUUUAGGUGAUCCUGAGGAUAGCCAACGCCAACAUUGGCAAAUAACCAAUAGCAGGAUGAUGUAGUUGCUGGCAAAGUGCAUGAGCGGGCGAUAUAGAGAAUGGACUUACUAUAUCCAAGCAAAAGGAAAAUUGUUCAUGGGCUUUAUAUUUAGGGCCAAUUCCAUAAAAAAGCAUUAACUUAACUAUUUUCCUAAAUCUGGCCCAAACUAUAUUUUGUUCCAAAAAAAAGCCCAAACUUUUAGUAGCAUCCCAAAUCUGGCAUCCGUUAACCAUCCUUCCAUAGUCACCGUUAGUGGCGUUCUCUUCGUCCUUCUGCUCAUCAAGUCACUCUCUCUGACAUCCUCCGACUAGAGUCACCGCCAAGCUUGACAUCUGCGCGUCCACCGCCGAUGCCCGUCCAAGCCAACACUACACGUCCAAACCAGACCACCCCUCCGUCAUCCUUGUUGUUAGCUUCAUCUUUGCCGAAAGGAGUCCUCCAUCUCCAUUGUCUUUGUGAUCAUCUUUACCCAUUUUUGGCCUAAGCAAAUGGCCAAAAAUCUGGAAAAAAUAGAAGUCUUCGGAAAGAAAAAAUCUGGGGAAAAAUCUUUGAGACAAGGAAGGGGCAAUGGGUGUCUUGGCUUGUCUUUUUAGCCAAAAGAUCUUAUAUUUAGAGGAGUUUACAGAGCAACAUGGGUCAAAAUUCAGUGGGUCUCUUGGCUUGUCUUUUUGGCCAAACAUGGAAGACAUGGCCGCAAAUAACUCGAGUUAUGCGGAAUCUGUGGAAGCUGGGUUAUGGGAAAUCUAUGGAAUCUUGGGGGAAAAAGAAAAGGAAACCCAGAAACUUGAAUGCUAAAGGUUUCCUUGUAUUCAUUGCAGCUCAUCGCUAGAAUAGGAAAAAAAAAAAACCCAUAUUUGAAUGCUAAAGUUGAUUCAGAAAUUCACAAUCUGCUCGCAAGGCUAUUCGUCUUUGUCUUCUCUUCCUGACGGCCAACUCUAGAUUUGAAACAAAGCCCCGUCCAUGGCUCCGACAAGCGAGGUCGAAGUAGGAGGAAGAGACAGAAAAAAAAAAGACUUUGGUGGGUCGAUAACCCACCGUCGUCCUUGUCGUCCUACUCUUCCUCGCCGUCAUUCUCGUCACCCACGCCGCCGCGCCCAUCUCCUUCACCGUUCGCUUCCUCCUGGCUUUGCAUGCCGUCUUCCUCCUCUUCUUCCUCGUCGACGGCGACGGGGACACCGACCUCCUUCACAACCCUAACUUUCUCGUCCUCUUCAAACUCGAUCUCCUCCUCCUCGUCGGAAUCCAUCAUCGCAAUCAUGACCUCAUGCUCACCGGGACGAGAAACCGGUGAUUUCUCGGCUCGAUUCCGAACAAAAACGAAUGGAAAAUCUUCGAGAAAAUGAAAAAUAAUGGGAACAAAUUUUCAAGGUGAGUGGAAAUGCCUCAGAGAUGACUAACGGUGACUAUGGAAGGAUGGUAACGGAUGCCAGAUUUGGGAUGCUAUUAAAAGUUUGGGCUUCUUUUUGGAACAAAAUAUAGUUCGGGCCAGAUUUGGAAAAAUGAUUAAAGUUGGUGUUUUUUUUAUGGAAUUGGCCCUUUAUAUUUAUUUUCCUCUUGCGUUUGAAAAAGGUCUGCACAAUCAGUUUCCACUUCCAUUACAUUUUUUUGUAUUUCUUAUUCAUUUUUUACUUCUUAUAAUCUAUUCUUUAUUAUAAUUUCCUAUUUUUUUAAGAAAAAUGACACGGACUGGGCUUGGUCUGAACAUAAACUGUACGCGAAUCUGAGCUGGGGACAUAAAGGGGCUUAUCAUACCAGUCCCUUUUAAUCCUAACCUCACCAAACUCAAUCGCAAAUAUGUAACCAUACUAAGCCCAUUUUUUAUUAUGUCGUACCAAGCCCCUUUUGGACUAUAAUCUCAAGAAGCGCACACUAAGUACAUUUUCAAUUAUAACGAGGCCAUUUUCCAUUCUCUCUUCUUCUCUUUUUGUGUGUGUAUAUAUAUACACACAUAUAUCUUUUUCUCCUUCUUAUUCACAAAAUCGAACAUACUUACUUAUUCAUCUAUUCUAAAUAAAUGCCAGCAAGAUCAAUGUUCAAGCCGUACGUUGUUGUCAACUUCCUUUGGCCGUCGAAGGACUGCCGCCAUCCGCCACCAUCUCAACUACCAAUCAUUCAAUACUCAUACGCACAGCCGCAGCAUGAUCAAAACGAACAGAUAAAAAGGAACGCCGUGAACAAACCGGCGCCAAUGAGUUCAGAGAUUACAACUGAUGCUAUCGUUUUGGAAUUACCUCCUCUCCGACCUCUGCGGCAACCGACAUUGAACGCAGCAGGAAGACGCGCCAACAUAGGGUGGAAACUAAACAAAAAGGAUAUGAUCAGAUUCAAUCUCGGCAACAGCGAAAUCUCAGUGAAAUCGUGCCGAGCAAUCAAUACGCACUCGAAAUAAUCCAACAAUCAGAGACACAAAUCUAAUGCGAACUCGGUUUAAGAAUUUCGUGUCGAACAUAUGGUGUGCAAUCGAUCGUGUCAACGGAGGAUUCGAUAUCUGAUCUGCGGUAAUGGUUAGAGAAUCGAAAUCGGAAACUGCGGAAGAGCUUCAAACUGGGUGUCACCGCGCGAGAAAAUAUUAGGUACGUGAGAGAUUCCAGCCUGGCAAACAAGAAGGGCGCUCGGAGGACGACACGUGUCCUCGUGUCAGGCGCCAUUUUGGAAAAAUUUCGGACUGACUGACAGAAGAUUUCUUCUUUCUUCCGAGUCUCUUUGUUCGCGCCUCGCGCGGGAGGACCUGGUCCGUCUCUCUCCCCGUUCUCCUCUCUCUCCUCUCUGUCUCUCUCCCCUCCGCCUCCGCUGGUUGCUUCCAUUGCCCCCCACCCGACGCCGACGCUCCUCCGCUUCCCUCUCGCGACGUCCGCUCUGCUCUCUCUCUCCCCCUUCGCGAAGUCGUGCCUCUCUUCUAGCGAAACGACGAGCUCGACAGCGCCGGCGACGGCGACAAAGCAGAAGUGCGCGUGCUCGGGGUUUUGGAAAUGGCUCAUCGCGUCGGUUGCGUUCCGGCACGCCCUCAUCUACCUCCUCAGGAACCUCCGCCUGUCCACCCGCCCCGAGGUCGCCACCCCUCUAACCAGCAUUCGCCGCAGGAACGCCGCCUGUCUUCGCUCCGUCGAUCAAUUCCCAAUCCCCGAUCCCCCGCCCCCUCCUCCCUUGAAAUCUUGGAGGUUCAUUUUCUGAUACGAUUUCUGGUUUUUCUUGUUUGUGCCGCCUGCAGUUGGCAAAGGCUACUGGUUGAAGCAGUAGGCGAUGUCUCCCUACGCAGGUUCGGCUCCGUUCGAUCUCUGGUGUGUCGCUGUUUGAUGCUUUGAUCCCUUCCACAGGUUCCAUGUAUCACAGUUCCCCUUUGCUAUUGCUCGUUCUCGGACCUCUCGCUGUCAAAAGGUAACUACCGGGGUAUAAUCGCAGAUGCAUUUUGAAGACUAGGUUGAUUGUGAGCUUUGCUGGUUAUCUGCUAGAACUGAACUAGAUUUAUCUGGCGUUAUCAAAGCGGAGGCUGUGGCUUGUGCGAAAAGUUGUUUUCGAUUCCAGAAAUCGAAUUUCUGGUAAUUGGUAUAUGCUGUCAUAGUUGAAACUUGGAUCCACUUUCAGUCGAAUCCAACCAUGUUUUUCUGUACAUGUCUCAUUUCUAUCUCCUUUGCCUGUGCUUGUGCAUAUGCAUAUGUAGCGNNNNNNNNNNNNNNNNNNNNNNNNNNNNNNNNNNNNNNNNNNNNNNNNNNNNNNNNNNNNNNNNNNNNNNNNNNNNNNNNNNNNNNNNNNNNNNNNNNNNGUAAGUCUUCAUCUGGGCAGGGCAUGGCCUUCAAUUGGUUGUGCAUUUGCAUCUCUGUUUCCCGAUGGCCUGCAUCCUUUCUCCUUCUUCUUUAAAUUUGGUUGCUUUAGAUUGUAGUGUAAUGAUAGCAUGCUUAUAUUGGACUUUUUUCCACUUAGCUUUAUGCUGGAGAUUCACUUGGCCAUGUAUCUGGCCUUUUUGUCUGGUUGUGAUUUAUCCAUUGAUCACAAUUUAAAUCUGAGAUAUUUGCCCUGCAUGGCAUGCCGUUCUGCAUACAGAGAACUUGGCAGUUGUAGUGCUUUAAUGUAGUUUUAUGCCGUUUACAUAUAUGUUCGCUGGGUAAUAUCUUUGCCUAUGCCAUGCAGAUUUUGCCACUAUUUAGCAAGCAUAAGGUGGUACAUUUCAAUAAGACAGAUGCUCAUUUGGCAAACAAUGGAAUUUCACUAGAUCUUUAGGCUCAGAUGUCGAGUCAACUUUCAGGCUUUAAAAUUUACUCCUCAGAUCGAGGCUCUGGGGAACAAAUUAGUCCACCUCCUUCGAGAUAAGGGGCCUUUCAUGGCUUUGCAUCUGAGAUACGAGAUGGAUAUGUUGGCUUUCUCUGGAUGCACCCAAGGUUGUUCAGCAGAAGAAGCUGAAGAGCUCAAGCGAAUGAGGUUUGUCUUGACAUGUGCUUGCUUUAUUGUUUGCCAUUGGAAUAAUUUUCAUUUACCUUAAUCAGCUGAUGUUGUGCUACUUAUGCCUCAAGUAAAAAUCACGAGCCUUUUGAAACCUCAAGGUGCAAAUUAUAGGUUCUUGAACGAAGGUUUAAAAUCUAGUUUAACUAGAGAUGCACAUUGUAUUUAAGGGAAAGUCGAUGAAGUUUUUGUACAUUUCUCUGUACUUACUCAUCUGAUAUUUCGCUCUAGGAAGGUGAGAGAAUGCCCUUGAUCUCAGCAUGCUAAAUGCCCAAAGAAACCCAUCCAGCGUAAUAGAAGAUGGAAACAGCUGCUCAUGCCGCAAUAUGAUUUCUUCUUUUACUUUAUGGUAUUGACUCUCUACAUGCUCUUUCAUCUCCCUGGUCAUCCGCAAUAGUAAGGUUCCUGGAUGAUUCCACGAAAAAAAAAAAGGUUCAUUCGUUGAUAUCCAGGGACAAGGCAAUUAAACAAAGGCACAUAGAGCAAGGGACGUCUGCGAUGGAGAAACCACGCGGACCUUUUAUCUCUGCAAGCUCUUCUUCUGACCUGCCCUGGAACCAGAAAACAGAAGCACACAACUAACCACCCCACAAUCUUAGACUAUCCAAUAGAAUUACUAACAAGUCUUAAAUUUUUUAUAGAAUUCGCAAAGUAAACAUGAAACCCACCAAUACAAUGUCGAGUCGGUUCGCUCCGGCAAUAUAUCAAUAUAGAACCGCCACGGCGAGUUGCCCCUCAUCUUCUCCCUUAUCAAGAAGAGAGAGACAGCCACCCAGGGCUUCAAGUCGGUGCAGCGAUAGCCAAUCUCUGAAGCAGCAACGGUGUCCGGAUUGGUCCACAACCUCCUGGGGACCUUCACAACAACUUCAUCUUGAGCAAUGUCUCACCGAGCGACGAGGCAGAGGCCUUCGGGAACGUAAGCCGGGCGAACCGGGCACGUCAAAGAGACCAUGCCCUCCUCGGCAAGCCACUUCCAGAAGGUCCGGACGUAAGGUGGCAAUGGCGGAUCGGACUCGAGGGGGUCAACAUGGAGCGAGGAACGAGUAGUUGUGGAAAAGAGAGGUCUUUUGAGGGUGGUCUUGAGGGGAGACAAGUGUUUGAAGGAUUUGAAAUGGAAUUGAGGAGGGAAUGAAGGAGAGGGUGGAGAAACGGAAAAGAAGACAGUGGAAAUUUUUGUGUUGUGGAUCGUUUGUCUGUUUUCUUGGAUAAGGUCCAGAACCCCGAGCGCGCGCGCUCCUGCUUCUUCGUCUCCGUCUUCUGCUUCGUCGCCGUCGAGCUUGUCGUUUCGCUGGAAGAGAGGCACGACUUCGCAAGGGGGAGAGAGAGAGCAGAGCGGAUGUCGCGAGAGGGAGGCGGAGGAGCGUCGGCAUUGGGUGCGGGGCGAUGGAAGCAACCAGCGGAGGCGGAGGGGAGAGAGAGAGAGAGACGGAGAGGACACGUGUCGUCCUCCGAGCGCCCUUCUUGUUUGCCAGGCUGGAACGUCGGGCGCCUCGGGAUCCCGGUCGUCUCGGAAACAAGGGGGUGCGCACGGCUUCGGAAUGGCGAGAAACGGUGGCCAAAAGAUGGCUGAAGGCGUGGGGAGGGCGACCGGGGAAGUCCUCUGUAGUGAUGGCACGGAGUUUAAAUCGGCGAGGAGAAGCGACUCCAAACUCCUUCACAAACCGUAAUCGAAAAAAUCGCCGUUUCUCUCUCACCCUCUUGUCCUGAACGAAAAGAUAGAUCAUUCCUGAACUCAGCAGGUGAGUUUCAAAGCCUAGACUGAGAUUAAUGGGUGGACCUGGUGAAUUCAAUUCUGAUGGGCUUGAAGGAAAUGGGCUGCGCACAGUGAGCUCAGAUGAUGAGUUGCCUUGGGCUUUAGAAUGAUUAUUGAACUUAGGCAGUGUACAAUGAUAUGUGAACUUUAACUUAUUUAAUAUGGUCUUUAAACUGCCAAUGUACGAUGUGGUCUCUAGAUUUUAAUUUGUUUAAUGUGAUCUAAUGGACUUUUGAAGUAUGUUCAAUUUAGUCCGUAGACUAUGUAAAAAUUAAACUCUUAUCCUUNNNNNNNNNNNNNNNNNNNNNNNNNNNNNNNNNNNNNNNNNNNNNNNNNNNNNNNNNNNNNNNNNNNNNNNNNNNNNNNNNNNNNNNNNNNNNNNNNNNNNNNNNNNNNNNNNNNNNNNNNNNNNNNNNNNNNNNNNNNNNNNNNNNNNNNNNNNNNNNNNNNNNNNNNNNNNNNNNNNNNNNNNNNNNNNNNNNNNNNNNNNNNNNNNNNNNNNNNNNNNNNNNNNNNNNNNNNNNNNNNNNNNNNNNNNNNNNNNNNNNNNNNNNNNNNNNNNNNNNNNNNNNNNNNNNNNNNNNNNACUACCGAAGAAGUCUGAAACCGAACCCUUGAAUAGACUUGUCUUUGUGUAUGCUAUAAAGAGUGCAUAUGUCAAGCAAUGGUAAAGCCAUAUGAUUUACUCUUCCCUCUAGAAAUUAAUAUCUCGAAUACCCUAAAUUCCUUUCAUUAUCAAAUGAAAAUGAUCGUCAACUCCACAACAUAUGUGUUUAUUUUACGAUUACAUCCUAUUUCAUGCUAAGUAUAAUUACACUAACAUCCAAAACUUUAGUUUGAGAUCUCAUAUACAAAGCAGUAAAGUUUUGUUUAGUUUGACUUAUGCACACUUGCUGGAUCUCCAACUUUCACCAACAUUUCCAAUCCCUAACUUUUAUUGACAUGAUGAUGCCAUAAUCUAUUGUGUCAUAAUGUCGACAUAAUAUUAAAAGGUUUGACAAUAAACUAUACACAUUGACGUUUUAUAAAAAUUAGGAUCGAUGCAGUUUUUAGACAUUUAUAGAAGUACCCUAUGCAUCAAUAUAAGUGGCUUAUUCUAGAUUAUUGGAUCCACGUAUCUAAGUUUUUCCUUGAUUGUUGUUUUCCUAUGCAGACUGGUAAAAUAAUCAAAGAAUACUUUUAUUAAGUUGUUGAUUUUGGAAUACCCAUACCGUCCUAUUUUGAAAGAUUUAUCAAAUGUGAUGAUUCGGUUGUGAAUUACCAUUUCUUACUUCUAAUUCUUUACUCUUAUUCCUUUCCGAGUUCUUGUUUCGAUUGUCUCGUUCUUGCUAACACUAAUGCUCAAGGACUUAAGCAAUAUGCCCGAUUCUUAUGCACCAGCUAGCUAGCCGACGAGAGAGGUUUUUAGGUAUUUUUGAAGCACAUCAUCACAUAUGUUAUUACGAAUUGUUGAAUUCGAAGCAUGGAGUUGAAGAAACUCAAAAAUUGAGUCGAUGAAGCAUUUUUUUUAUUUAUUGAUAUGUUGUACAAUAUAUAUAUAUAUAUAUAUAUAUAUAUAUAUAUAGAGAGAGAGAGAGAGAGAGAGAGAGAGAGAGAGAGAGAGAGAGAGAGAGAGAGAGAGAGAGAGAGAUAUUACCACGUGAAAGUUAAAGAUAAAAGAUAACAAUUUUAUCUACAAGGAAAUUGAAUAAAAGACAAAUCAGAAAAGAUCUCCAAAUGAUCAACUCGUUGAUACUUUGCUUGAUUUGUUAUCAUCAUAUUGAUUUGUAGAAGAUUCUACACAAUCUCCAAAUGAUCAACCCGUUGAUAUUCUGCUCGAUUUGUUAUCUUCAUAUUGAUUUGUAAAAGAUUUUGAACUAUAAACAUAUACUUUGAUUGAUUUACUAUCUUCAUACUGAUUUGUAGAAGAUUAUGCACUACAAACAUUUUGAUUUUUUCCCUUUUGAUUUGUUAUUUCAAUACUCCCCUUCAAAUCGGUCAAUGGGGAGGACCAAAGACCAAGUUUGAUUCGUAGACCAACAAACAUAUCUUGAGUCAAUGGUUUAGUGAAAAUAUAAGCAAUUUGUGAGGAAAACGGAACAUGGCAUAUUACAAUAGAGCCAAGAGUAACCUUUUCCCAAACAAAAUGAUAAUCAAUCUCAAUAUGCUUUGUCUGAGCAUGAAAAAUUGGAUUAGUUGCGAGAUGCAAUGCCGACAUGUUGUCCAAGAAAAGUAACAAAGGUUGACGUUGGUAGAUCCCAAUGUCACAUAGUAUGUAUGAAAUCCAAGUGAGUUCAGUAGCUGCGAAAGCAAGAGCUUGGCAUUUGGCUUCAGCUGUGGAGUAGGCCACAGUAACUUGUUUCUUGGCACACCAUUAAAUAUAAUUUGGUCUGAGAAAAGUACAAUAACUAGUGGUAGAACGUCGGGUGAUUUUGCACCUAGCCCAAUCUGCAUCAACAAAGCCAAAUAAAUGAAGAGAACUAUAAGACAAAAUACGAAGCCCGAUGUGUAAACUAACGUGGACAUAUCGCACAAUACGCUUUACCAUCUGUUAGCGAGCAACAAUUGAGGCAUGCAUAUGUUGGCAAACUAUGUUGACUGCAAGUGAGAGAUCUGGAUGAGUGAGGGUAAGGUACUGAAGAGUGCCUACAAUUCUUCGAAAAUGGGAUGGAUCGGCGUAGGCCUUACCACCAUUUUUGAGGGACGGUUGCUUGGUAGCUAUUGGAGUAGUAAUUGGCUUACAUUGUGCCAUUGAUGCUCGACUCAAAAGAUCUAAUGCAUAUUUAUGUUGUGAGAGAGAGCCCAUCAGUGGAGCGAUUGACUUCAAUGCCCAAGAAAUAAUGAAGAGAACCAAGAUCUUUCACAAAAAAUCCAAAUGAACCUUAUGUAUACAAGAAGGUCAAUGGAAGCACGAUUGCAUUUCUAAUUCUGUACGUUGAUGAUAUACUUUUGAUUGGGAAUGAUAUAGCGAUGAUAUCAUCCAUAAAACUAUUAUUGUCACAGAAGUUCUCCAUGAAAGAUUUAGAAGAGGCAUUCUAUAUUUUAAGUAUCAAAAUCUAUUAAGACAUAUCGAGAUGAUCGAUUAGCCUCUCAUAGUCUACGUGCAUAGACAAAAUGUUAACACAUUUUAACAUGCAAUGUUACAAUAAAAGAUUAUUGCCUUUUAGGCAUGGAAUCCAUCUUUCGAAGAAUAUGUGUCCCAAAACUCCUAAAAAAAGAGAGCAGAUAGCAAAGAUACCUAUGCAUUCGCUAUUAGAAGUAUAAUGUAUGUUAUGCUAUGUACGAGACCUGAUAUUGCGCAUGCUAUAAGCAUUACUAGCAGAUAUUAGUCUAAUCCAAGGGAAAAGCACUGGAUAGUAGUCAACAAUAUUCUUAAGUACUUGUGAAGGAUUAAAGAUUUGUUUGUGAUGUAUGGAGAAGGAGAGUUUACAGUUGUAGUUUAUACUGAUUCCGAUUUUCAACCGAAUCCUAUUUAUUAUAAGUCUACAUCUGGGUUUGUCUUUAUACUCAAUGGUGGCACCAUUAAUUAGAAGAGUUCUAAAUAGAGUAUAAUUGUUGAUUCCACCACUAAAGCAGUGUAUGUAACUGCUUCUAAAGCAGUGAAGGAAGCCACUUGGAUGAAGCUCAUUUCUGAACUUGGAGUCACUCCUUCAAUUGAGCAACCGAUUACAUUAUUUUGUAACAACAAUGUGGCAAUAACUCGAGCUAAGGAACCAAGGUCUCACUAGAAAUCUAAGUACAUCGAGAGAUGUCUUCAUCUCAUCAGAGAAAUUGUUUGGAGGGGUGAUAUCGCAUUAUAGAAAAUUGCCUUAGUAGAAAAUGUGGCAAAUCCAUUCACUAAGUCAUUGCCUCAAUCUUCUUUUGAAAGACACGUUGGCAAAAUAGGUUUGAUGUACCAAACAAAUUAGCUUUAGUGCAAGUGGGAGAUUGUUGAAUGUAUGCCCUAAAGUUACUAUGUACUAGUUAUAUGUUAGGGAUUUCGAUUGUACUAUCAAUCUUAUUAUUUGAUUAAUGGCAAAGACGUUUUCAUUCAUUUGUCUAAUUAUUAAUAUAUAAAUAAUGUAUGUCCUAAAGUUACUAUGUAAUAGUUAUAUGUCAGGGAUUUCAAUUGUACUAUCAAUCUUAUUAUUUGAUUAAUGGCAAAGACGUUUUCAUUCAUUUGUCUAAUGAUUAAAUCCUAAAGUUACUAUGUAAUAGUUAUAUGUUAGGGAUUUCAAUUGUACUAUCAAUCUUAUUAUUUGAUUAAUGGAAAAGAUGUUUUCAUUCAUUUGUCUAAUUGCUAAUAUAUAUAUAUAUAUGUAAAUGAUUCCAUAAAAUCAGUUGCGAUUUAAUCUAUUUUUGAGACAUGAAAAAUACGUGUAAUAAGUUCAUAGUUAGAUUGAAUUUUUAAACCGUUCCCAAUCAAUGAAUCAUUUAAUGGAUAUUAAUGAUUCUGUUUAUACUAGUGUAUUCUUAACUUCACCAUUAAGUAUUAAAUCCUUAAAAUAAUGACUAGUUAUGAGUCAUUGGGUAUUAUGAUGCCCAAGUUAGAAUACAGGUACUUGUAGCGAACAAAUUCACCAAACAUGACACGCAUAGAAUGAUUAACGAUAUGGAAGCUUUUGGCAUUGUCAAUGUCUAAUCGUUUAUGCUUUGGUAUUCUGUAAAUAAUCCUUAGACCUGAGGCACAGUGUUGACUUGUAUGUUGGACACCUAUGGUUUACAGGUGCACAUAUUGGUGGCUCAUUGAUCCAUCUCUGUACUUGAUGGUUAUAGUUUGUUCAUAUACGAAAUUACACGUGUUUGCAACAUAGAAUAUGUCUUUUUGUUACAAGUAAGGUACAAUAAUGAUGUCAUAUGUGAUCGAAUUAUAACACUGUAUUAAAAUCCUCAGCCGGAGUUGUAAUCGAGAAUGAAUUGUUUAUGUCUCGUAUGAAAUGCUGGUCAGUUAAGUUUCUGUAUAUGAUCAAAUUGACGACUUGACAAAUAAUCCAUAGUCCUUGUUCAAUCGAGGCAUAGUAAAAUAGAUGAAUUGAAUUACACUAUGACUAAAGCUAACAAGUUCAUUAUAUUCUUAAAGUAUUCAUACUGUCUAGGCAGUCAUAAUAUAUUGUUAGAAGUCAAUUAUGGCUUAUAGGAUCUAGAGAUUGAUCAAGACAAUCAACUUUCUUAGGAGUACUAAUGUGUUAGUACAAGUUUUACUACCAACUCAAUGAUGAACCUAAAUAUGUCAGACACCAUAAUCAAUUCACUUGAUCUCUUACGAACAUAGCCCGCUCACGAGAGCUAUUCUCUCGGUCACCCAACUUUUAGAGGAAGUAAUCAUUUAACUUUUUCGAGAGGUCAAAGAUUAGCUUCUAGAGGAAGUUAAAUGUUGACUUCAUCAGGACAGUGUAUAGAGAGCAGAGAGAGGGUGAGUGGGUUAGAGAGAAGAUUACAUGGUUAAUAGUUACAUGUACAGGAUUGUAUCCAUGAGAUUGCUAGGAUAAUUAUAAUGGCAAUUACCUGCGAGUUUUUUUACAUUCGAGGUGCGUUGGUGGUAUGUUUGAACUAGAGGUCCAAUUUUUAUGUGACUCAAAUUGAAGAACAUUCAAAUCUAGUCAUAUAAAGCGUGUUUUGAGAGAUAAUUCAUAUAAUUUCCUUUGAUAUUCUGAUUUUUGAUUAAAAUGCACGAACAAUACCUUUAGAAAUACAUGUAUAGUAGAAUUUUAUCUAUACUUCUGCUGCGUUUUUGUUUAUUUCGCCUAUACAUGUUCCAUAAAACUCCAACAAGAAUGUUGUUUUGGUGGAGAGGAGGUCCCGGAGCUAAGGAUGUGGAAGGAAAAAGAAAGAAAGAGAAAAGAAAACAUAAUUAAAAAGAGAAAACAAAAAAAAACAAAAAAAGGCUUUUGAUGAAAAUGCCUCUAGCCAUAUGAAGAUUUGAGUGAUUUGGCUUUUUUGGGCCAUAAGAUGGCUUCUUAAUGGAUCAUUAAUUCUUUAAAAAAAAAAAAACCUAAAGUGAGGUUUUCUCUCAAAGUACUUCCAAAGUAAUGUCUAUCUAGAAUAGUCCCUGAAAUUGAUGAUUUCGUCUCAAUGGAACUUCAUUUCACCUGUACCACAAAUUUUCGCCUGGCAACCAUCACAUGCAUGUCCCUCGCCAUGGACAGAGGCAUAUUCAUCCGAAAGAAAUAUCGCUAUAAGCCCAUCACUCAGCUNNNNNNNNNNNNNNNNNNNNNNNNNNNNNNNNNNNNNNNNNNNNNNNNNNNNNNNNNNNNNNNNNNNNNNNNNNNNNNNNNNNNNNNNNNNNNNNNNNNNGCUACCAAGUGCCAUUACAAAAAUGUCCCUAAGCAAUCUUUGAUUCCUAAGAUUUUGAUAUUCUAUCAAACUUGAUGAGUAAAUAAACCCAAUGUUCUCCUAACCUCAACCACCAAUAUUCUCAAGACGAAAGUUCGUGAAAAUUCUAAUCCAGAGUGUUCAGAAAGGUAUGUUUGUCAGGAAUUUUGAGACCACUAUACAUCUUUUCAGUGGUAAAGAGAGACAUGAAGUGAUCUUGAAAGAGAUUGGCAAUGAUGUCAAGUUCAGAUGGCUUACCACGAAAAGGUAUUACUUCAAUUUCUGUUGACCGAAGAAGAAUGUAAUAACCUUAUCAUCAGGUGAAGAUCAUCCAUAAAUACAAGGCGGAUGAUAUCCACUUCAAUAUGAACAAUGGAAAAGGAACGGCAGAAACAAGCACAACUCACGUUUUGAUUCUGCAAAAGCAAAAGAUGAGAAUCUGGGAGUUUCAAGGCAUUGACAGGUUGUUUUUUUCUUACUUAAAGAGAGGGAAUUUCGUGAUCUCUGAUCAAUAAAACUCUCUUGGGCCAGAAUUAAUUCAAUCAAGCCACACAAAUAGAGUUUGACAUUUGCAUACACAGCCAAGAAAUUCCUAUCUACAGAGCUGCGACCUAAGCCUUUUGCUACGCCUUUUUCAUCAUAAGAGUGAUGAAAAACUCUGAAAAGGACCAAUCACUUCAAUAGUUAUAAAUCAAAUGUGGAACUCAUGACAAGCUCCUUAUUGCACAAGUGAAUUUGGAAAAAAUGUCCACGGUCUCAUAGGAAUAGAAUUGGCCAAUCUCAUUAUUGGUGGAUAAGCCUGCAUAUUUUAUAUUCAAUAUAUUCGCAUAUCAAGAAAUAUGAUAAAUGAUAGGUUAGGAAGGAAUUGCAUAAUCCACUAAUGUGUUGAUGCACAUCCUUUAAUCAUCAUUUGACUUAUAUAGAAAAUUGACGUGUCCAAUCUCGGAAUUUUCUAUGUUUUACUUGAUCAAAUUGCGAAUGUGGCAAUUCAAUGAUUGAUACAUUUGAUGUGCUAAUAAAAUGCAGCAAGCCAUGGACUUAACCUUAGGGUUCGAUAUGCAGCUAAAAGCUGUAAAUCGUUCAUUUGUUAUCUAGAAGGAUUUCCAACACAAAUCAAACUCCUUGGUCUCACAUGUAUUAUCAGAAGGGUGGAAACAAAACAAAAAAGAUAUGGUCAGAUUCAAUCUCCGCAACAACGAAAUUUUACUGAAAUCCUGCUCAGCAAUCAAUGUGCACUCAAAAUAAUCCAACAAUCAGAGACAAAUCUAUGCAAAAUCAGUUUUAAGAAUUUCUUGUCGAACAUAUGCUGUGUAAUUUGAUUGAGGAGCAGAACUUUGACUUCAGAUUCCAACGUUCAAGCUAAACCAACAACGGAUGCUGGCAAUCGGAGAAACAAUCUCAAAUAGAUCGCGUCGAUGAAGAAUUCAAUAUCUGAGCUGCGGUGAGGCUAGAGGAUCGAGAUCAGCACCUGCGGAAGAACUUGAAACUGGAUCUCGGCGCGCCUCUGGAUCCUGAUAUCAGGAACAAGGGUACACAUGGCUUUGGAACGGCAAGAAACGGCAGCGAAGGUGGCUGAAAGCGUCGGAAGGGCGAUGGGGCAAGUGCUCUCUGUAGUGAUGGCACGGAGUUUAAAUUGGCGGAGAAGGCAGCCAGGAAAAGCUGACUCAAACUCUAUCAGUAACCGCAAUUGAUAAGAGAGGUGAAAGAAGACGCGUAAUCGAAUCGCUUUUCUAGAAAAAAUCUCCGAUUCUCUCUCACUCUUUCAGUUUGAACUAUGACCAUUAUUAGAGUAAGCUACAGGAGAGAGAAAAAGAAAGAGAUAACAGACGAAUUUUGUUAUGGAUUGCGCUAAGAUGCGAUAUUAACUAAAACCACCCUUAGAAAUUAUGUUAUGAAUGUGAUAAUUACUGUUGUAAUUAUGGUUAUAAUUAUGGUUAAUAGAUCAACGGAAGCCAAUAAAUUAAGAUACGUUUUUUCUGUUCACGUAUCUCUUUUUGGAUUCAUGAAUUUCCUAUACUUUUAUGUUCACGUAUCUAUUGAAUUCAUGAAUUUCUUAGAUUCAUGUAUCGUUUAGUUCAUGUAUUUAUUGAGUUCAUGAAUCUCUUGAAUUCAUGUAUCUUUGGAUACAUGAAUCUCUUGGAUUCACGUAUCUCUUUAUUCAUGAAUCUCGUGGAUACACGCGUCUAUUUAAUUCAUGUAUCUCUUUAGUACAUGAACUAAAAAUCUCUAUAUAUAGAUAGGAACAUAGAGCUUCAAUAGGGUUUUUUGGUUUUCCCGAUUCGAUUCCAAAAAGAGCUUUGAUGUCCUUUUCUACUCUUCUGUUUUUCCUGAGUGUGCUGGUUCAAUUGAACGGUUCGACAGAGUCCUGUUUGCAUAGUGCUAAUCCAAACAGGUUCGAGGUGUUGUAUCUUGGGAGGCAUAGUUCGUGAAUCUGCGGGGCACCAUUGGCAGGAACUAAUCGCCUUAAGGAGAUUCGGUUAUCCGUACCUCACCUCCAAUUUUAUGUUAUUUUUCAAUGAUAUCUUAUUUUAUUCUUCUCCAAGAGUUGUAAGUUUACAUAAAAAGAAGAAUAUUAUAUAGCUGUUAUCGUCUUCUUUAUAUUGAUGUUCUGAUUACAACAAAUAGUGUGUAUUCUCUGGAUAUAAUAGUGUGUAUUCUCUGGAUAUAAUUUCCAACAAUUACAUUGACAACACUUAAUUGAAAAAGAAGAAGAUUAAUUACCCUCUCUAAGAUAGAAUCAAAUCACCACGUUUGUUAACCAAAUUUCAAUGAACUUCCCUAAUCACUCUUGGUUAUUGCGAAGGUGAUGCUCAGGUAUACUUCACGAAGGAGAGCAUGUAUAAGAGAUAAAGCGCAAUACAAGAUCUCUAAUAAGGGAAGUGAAGAUGCAUAAUUCAUGGAACUAAUACACUUUUGAUUUGAUUCUAAGUACAUCGAGCUCUUGUCCAAUUUUCCCAUUAGAUACUUGAGGUGGAGUCACUAGCUAUUAAUUCAUCGUUUUUUCUCUCUUCCUCUAUGAUUCUCACUCGCAAUAAUAAUAUGGGUUGGCUUUACACGUCAGAAAAAAAAAAAUCACUUGACUAGAAAAGAUGCAACUCUUGUAUAAAUAGAUGUACCGUUCACUAAUAAAUAUUACCCUUAACAAGGAGACACGACUAUAUUAAUUAACUUUGAAGCACAUUACUUUAUAAUAACAAAGAAUAAUAUAUAGACCGAAAAUUCAUAAAUUGAUUUGAAACGUUAUAUCUCAUGGUCAUUGCAUCUAUACAAAAGAUAAAGGUAAAUUUUAGCGAAGAUUUGAAACAACAUAAACGUUUUUAAUUUCAAUGCUUCAAAAAAAAAAAAAAAACUAGUCUUAAUUUUUUGCUUGUUAUGAUUUUUUAUUUAUUUGAGUAUUUCAAUAUUUUAAUCUAAAUACUUCCAUAGAAAACAUGUAUUCUUUUGACAUAUUCCUCUUGUACGCCUAUGUCACUCUUUAGUAACAGAAAAAAAGAAAAAAGAAGAAGAACUCUACAAAAAAACCAUAUUGUCAAUGCAUAGUCCAUGUCAAAAUUGAUCAUUUGGCCAUGCCAAGUAGGAUGGGCUGUACUUAUUAGACUACCACAUCAGUAAUUUCAGCCAAAAUUAGCCUGAAUGAAUUAAUCGGCUAAGCAUUAAAAGGGUUAUAAUUAAAUUGACACAAUUGGAAAGUUUAAGAUUGUAUUAGUCGCAGUAUAGGAGGUUUAAGACUUUGACAAAUUCUCCUUCUAAAUUAUCAUAUCUUCCUUCACCCUCUUUCAUAUUUUAGUUUCCUCUCCUAGCUGAGAAGAUGGCAUGAAGCUAUUUCUUCAUACGAGUUUGAACACGACAACUAGAAUGGUAGUUUUCCCGCGGAGACAUUAACGGGCGACACAAAGAAUCUCCACGCUUUAUUGAUUCAUGUUUGCUUGCACAACAAAACAGAAGUCCUUGGCCUUUGAAAGAAAGCAAAAAACAAAAUCCGAACAUAAAGAAGAAUUACCGUAUAUAUUUGAAUUAUUUUGUCUGGGACGAACACCAAUAAAGUUAAACUUAUGGACGUCGUAACUAAGUCCUCGUUUUAUGAUUUAUUAUUUGUUUCUCGCCUUGGAAAACGACGAGUGAUUCCAUGCAGAUCUGAAAGAACUAGUUGUCGAGUUCUAGAGGCAAGCUCGCCGUAUCCUCCAGUUGGAAGCCAGAUUGAAUUCGAAUUGUCCGAGUCCAAGUAGAUUUUUGAAUUUAUAUGGUUGACAAUAUUAUUACCAGUGUUCAUAUCUGAAAGGUAUUUCAUCAUAUUUUUGGUAGGGAAUACGCAACUUUCAUCAAUUCAUAUCGAUCCAUUAACAUUCAAAAAGGCAUUUCAUGAUUAUUAUUAUUUUUUGGUGAAAUAAUACUCUUGAUAAAAUUGAAGAUAAUUAAAAAUUCGAACAAUUACUAGGGAAUUAGCAUAAAAGAAAAUGGGUUAAUGACAAUAUUAAGGUCCUGUUCAAAACAUUAUAUAAUACCAUCAUACCCUUAAGAAUGCUAGAUACGCGUGCCAUGUGGAAGAAAGUGAGUUUAGAUCUCUAUGCUAUUUCCUGAAAUUGAUGAGACUAACCGGAUGUGAUUAGUAGGUCCAUAUAAUAAUGUAAACUCACUUUCAAUUUCGACCUUGAGCAAAAUUACCAAGAAAAAAAGAAAGAAUAAAUAAAACAAGGAUCUUCAAUUUCAUUUUAAAAACCAAACCAGAUCUUCCCGGGUCCUCCUACCACUAAAGAAAGAAAGCACUCACCAACCUUUUGCCCUGCUUCAAUUCCACAAUGACUUCGUAGACCUUCCAAAAACAAAGAAGAAAGUAAUGAAAAGUUUUCAUUUAUACACAAAUCUUUUCAUUAAACAUUUCUUCGGGAUAUAAAUGUUUUUUUGAUAUUUUUCGUUAUAUCUUAGUAUGGAUCUAGAUAUUUCGAAUUAUCCAUAUCAAAUAUUUGUCUCACCUAACAUUGAGCAUCUAUUGAUAAAGUUGUCUUAAUCGAAUAUUCAUUGAGUGUCUAUUGGUUAAGUCCCUCAAUUCUUGACAUCUUAGUUUGUAAUUAAAUGUCACAAAUCUUCUCGUUAAACAUCUCAUUUUGGAUAUGAAUUUUUUCGAUCUUUCUCGUUAUACCUUAGUCUGGAUCUAGGUAUUUCAAAUUAUCUUAAUCCAUUAUUUGACUUGCCUUACAUUGACCAUUUAUUGGUUAAGAUUUCUUAAUCCAAUGUUCCCCUCACCUAACAUUGAGUGUCUAUUGGUUAAGUUUCUCUAGUCUUGACAUCUCAAUCUGGAUCCGAAUGUCUUGAGUCUUAUUGUUAACCAUUUCAUUUUAGAUAUGAAUGUUUUUCAAUCUCCUUUGUUAUACUUUAGUGGGUCUGGUAUUUUGAAUUAUCUUAACCCAAUGCUUGACUCACUUAACAUUGAGCAUGUAUUAGUUAAGCCAUCUUAAUUGGAUAGUCAUAUCACCUAAUAUUGGGCGUCUAUUAGUUAAGUUCACCAAAUUCUAAACAUCAUGCUGAAUCAAGAUGUCUUGAAUCCUCCUGUUUAAACAUUUCAUUUUGGAUAUGGAUGUUUUCCCCACCUCUUUUACUAUACCUUAGUCUGGAUCUAGGUAUUUUGAGUCAUCUUAGUCCAAUGAUUAUCUCACCUAACAUUGAGCGUCCGUUGGUUAAAUUCAUUUGGUUGCCUCUCUCUGGAUCUAGGAGAUUCGAUGAACAUUGUUACUUCAGAAAAAUUAGACUCUUCAAGGAAUCUGAAAUGAAAACCGGAGACUUGUUGAGCAAAUGAAGUUUGAUCCAGUAGCUUAAGAUGCUUUACUGCACUAGUUGGCAAGUAACUACAAGUACGCUCUCCUUUUCUGUAUUAUGAUUUUGGGAAAAUUCAUUAUAUCAUUUGAUUAUUUCAUUUACAUUAGACCAGCGGAUGGAUUUGAAUUGAUGGCUCUGGACUAACUAAACUAAGCCAAGGUCUUUUAUAUGACCGAAAAUUGCGUGUGCCUUGCACGUGAGGUGCUCAAGUUAGGAACGAUCCAAAAAUCAUAUUAUGAGAAUAUAUGAUUCACCGUUGGGGCACAUAUAAAAGAAGAGUUCUUUUAAUGGGUGGAUUAAGAAAAGAAAAUAAGAUUCAAAUCAAUCAAGAUUAUCUCAAAGAAUGGGAAGACGCGUGGAUGGAGCGAAAUAAAAAGAGAGUGGGUGAGGCAAGAAUUGGUCAACUUAAAAAGAAAAUAUUUGGAGAAAGAAUAUAUAUAUAUAGCAAUCUAAGGGAGUCGAUGAAAAAGCGAGUAUAAAAGCAAGGAAGCCGGACUCUCUUUGUGAAGAGCCCCGGGGGUGGGUGGGUGUCUCUUUCUUGACCCGCCUGGCCAGCCCUCCCUCUUUCUGCCUCUUUAGUUGGAACGACUAUCUACGUCGCCUACCCUUGGUCGGUUAAAGCUAUGCACUGAUUCACUCUUAUCGUAUCAGGUUGGGAGCGAAAGCUUUCUAAUAUGGGCAGAGACCUCAGGUCUAUCUCUCUUCUUUGUGAUAUGGAUUUCUAAUGAGAGGAUUACAAGUAGUACACAAUAGAGAGAAACACACGUGAGGGAGAGAAGAGAGAGGCCGCCCCCCCGUCGUGAGUCCUCUGCCCCGUUGCCGCCGUGCCACUGCUGCUCCCUCCGUGGUGGUUGCUACUGCUGUCCAUGGAGCUGCCCCAUGUCGCCCAAUGAUCGAGGCUGCUGCUGCUUCAAUCUGAACCGCGCAACACCGUACUUGCUCGCUAUUGCAUCACUGCUGUUCGCCGCCAUGUCUUUGCUGUUUUUCGUCGCUGUUCUCUGCCACGACAUUGUCCAGUCCGGUCUCCAUCAACACUAAUCCGAGAGCCGUGAGUUCCAGCACCUGCUCGGAGAGGGAAGUGAAAUAUGUAGACAGGGUCAAGUGGUGAAAAUCUGGUGAAGGAGACUCUGAUCACCGCUUAAAAAGAAGGGUCUUUGUGAGAUCAACAGGUGGCCUUGAGAAGGAAUAGCAAUCCCAGUUCCAGCGAAACAAACGGAGCCAAGCCGUGACUCGUUGCACUUUUGCUCGUGGUCUAGUCUCGAUGUCCAGCUACAAUUUGCGAGCCCGACACCGUUUGCUCUUGCUUUUGUUUUGCAGGUGGUGUUGUCGUUGCCAAAUCCUCACCGGAGCGAGGAAGUCGCAUCGAGAGGCCAGCACCAUCACCUCACGAGUCUCUUGCCAGCUAACGCCCGAACCGAUCCAACCCUGUCGACGUUUCUGUUUUGUAGGUCCUUGAUAGCCAUAUCGCCGCUGCCCGUCACUGUGACCAGCCGCUCCUCGCCGUUCACUGUCGAGGAGCUGGUUGCGAUCCCACUCCAAUUGCGUUGCAUUUGAAUUUGGAAAUAAAAUCCUCAAAUUAGGUAAAAUGCUUAUCUUUAGUAUAUUAUGCAUAUUUUACUGCCUUAUUUGAGUGAUUCGGUUUAUGCUUAUAUAUUCUAUUAGAUAUUAGAUAUAUUAUGUUGGACACUGAAAUAUUCUGUUAGAUAUUUACUUAAAUGACGUAAUACCCACAAAAUUCUAAGAUACCCCAAGUUAGGGAACUUUCCUAACUUAACAACAUAAUUUGUAGAAAAUCUUUCAUCCUAUCCAUAAAUAUUUGGAUACGAUCGUUGAUUUACCUGUUUCCGAAUUUGAAUGGAUAACUUUUUAUCAAUAUCUAUAACCACUUGGAAAUAUUGUUGGUUAUUCAAUGUCCUGAGAUAGAUAAUAUAAGAUUGUAGAUUGCAUUAUAUAAUUAUAUAUCUAUCCAUUGUUUGAACGCUUGCGUUAAAAAGAAAACAAAAAAAUAUAUUUGAAUUGGACUUGAUUCUUGUGAAACUAUUGUUUGUUUUAGGUUAGAUUGGAUGUUUAGAUUAGGUAAUUUGUUUACUCAGAGUUUCAAAAUAAAAAAUGCCAAAAACAUUGCUUUACGAUGUUAGAUUUACUCUUCCUUAAUUUAAAUUGCAAGUUUAAUUAUUGGGUCAUUUUAAUUUCGAAUUUUACUUAAAAAUAACAAAACGGGUAUCACUUCAAAUUUAGUCAUUGCAUGUUUAGGAUUAUUUAAAUAUAUGACAAAGUAGGAUAGUUUCAUUUAAUAUUUGCCCAUCAUUAGAUUAAUUCAUUUAAUUAAUGUAGCAUGACAUAUAAUUUGCACGUUAAGUUUAUUUAAUUGUAUGUUGCAUAGCAUGUUAGUAUGAUACAUUUUUUUUACAUCAUUGCAUUAUAUUGUAUUGCAUGUAGAUUAGGUUUCAUUAAAUAAAAGGAAAUCCCAAACAAUUGAGUGACUGCGUGUUAAUUAUAAAUCAUAUUUAAGAUUGUUGAUAUAAAUCCUAAGCUAACAUUUCAUUGCUAUGAGAUAAGUCAUACAAUUUAUUUAUUGCUUUAUUGGGUGUUAAAUUAAUGAUUUGCACACCUUUAUGAUAAUCUCAAAUGUUAUGGAGUAAUAAAAUGAAUCCGAGCUACUUGCCAAAUAUAUUUUUUUUCUUGAAAAGAAUGAUACCAAACAAGUAUUGGAGAAAUCUAACGUAACCAAGUUCUCAUACCCAUAAUCUCUAGUAUUUCUCUCAACACUUUAUUUAGGUAUCUAAUCGACUUAUUAUAAACUAAUUAGUGGUGACUCUAUAUUAAAAAGAUUUGUAUGUUGAGAACAUAAAACCUAAAUCACAAAUUGGUAUGAACUUGGGAAAAUCCGAAUUAGGCUUAGGUUUAAUAAUUCAUCAACCGAACCCCUACGUGGUCCCACCCGCUUCGUGGUUAGGUCAUGACAAAUGGUUUUUUUUUUCUUUGGCUAUGCAAACCAUAGUUGAAUAGUUACCACUUGUUUUGAAUCUUCUUUGAUGUUGCAGACCUUAGGCUUAAUGAUCCAUUAGCUGAGCUCCUAGGUGGUCCAACCUGCUUCGUGGUUAGGUCGCAACAAAUGGUUUUUUUCUUCUUUUGCUAUGCAAACUAUAGGUGAACAGUUACUACUUGUUUUGAAUCUUCUUUGACACUGGAAAUGGAUGUGGAUUCUAACUUCUAUGCUUAAACCGGUAGUGUGAUCACAUUACAAUAUAUAUAGAGUAUAAUCUUUUCUUCAAACAAAAAAAUAUAUGAUAUAUAUGAAUAGACUGUGGAGAUGAUAUUAUCUUUUAUCCUAAUCAAAAGAAAAUAUUUGCAAUAAAGUGAAGGUCAAAUUCUCUAGAAAGGCACUAACUUGUGGCUUUGACCCAAUUUCAACCAACUUUUGAGUGUGCAAAAGAAAAGUAUCGACUUUCAAUCGAGGCUCGAUUAUGGCAUCCACCAAGCCACCGUUCAUUUUUGCCGUUAAAUAGACAAGAGAUGGCAUCGUCCAUGCAUUGCGGACUCGCCAACGUUGCUAAGGUGGGGCUUGAUAUGACGAUGUCGUUUCGUCAAGGCUCUCAAAUGACAUCAUGAUGUCAUGCACUGUUGAGAUCUUGGUGACGACGUCAUUUGAUCAAGUCAUGAAACAAGGGGCAAAUUGAGGGAAACGUGGUGAUUAGAAUUUGGGGUAGAAAAUUAGGGCUCUUGAGGGUUCUUGAUUUGGAGGCAAAAGAAAAAAAGGGUUCUUGAGCAAAUCAAUAGAAAUGUCGUUGAUGCGUCCUGGGCUGCACACUUGGCAAACACCAAAGAAUCCCAGAAGGAGGUUUUUAUCACUGUUCAUUGUAGACGGUAAUGCACUAUCAAUUUGUUGAAGGCAAUUGAGUUGAUUGGGUUUGAUUUCAUAUCUUCUUCUUUUGGACAGGUAAGUGUUGAAAGAUCAAUUGUUCGCUAUCAAUUUGAAUUGAUAAAUUCAUGUUCAUUUAGCAAUUUGAUGAUUGAGGGCUUCUUUAAAUGGUUGACCCUGAGUCCAAAUUACAAAACAAAGAAGUUCUAUUCCAAUUGACGAGAGACGAUGAAGUGUUGAAGGAGAAGCCAAAAUUUGUGUAGAAAAUCUAGAAAGAAAUGAGGGAAGAAUGACCAUUCUGCAACAAACAAGGAAGAUGAGCUUAAGAUAGCAUUGAUCAACUUGAACUACAGCUUACAAAUGAGAAUGGGGAUUGCAAGCGCGCAAGUGAAGGAGAAGAUUUUAGUGAGAGUCAUAUAAGCGCUGAUAGGGGCCUUGGUUGUAUUGACAACAUUGAAGGUCGAUUGUAGGUGUCAAUCUUACUUUGCCUGGAUGGUGUUAGUAAGUAGUGCUGUUGUAGGAAGUUGCUUGAAGCUUUUUGUGCAAGGCGCAAAUGUAACCAAUGAAUUGGGGAAGGUGAUGAAUGUAACCUUGGUUUUGGAGUUGCUAGUAACAUGAAUAUCCAUGGUUCUCGUUUUGUCAAGUUUUCUCUCUACCUCCAUGGUAGUUGUUUUCUCGCCAGAACCCUAAAUUCCUUUAUGCUCACCUUCAAGCUUCCAUCUUGCUGUUUGAUUAUGGAUUUCCCAUCGUGUUUCCUCUUUGUUUCUCUUUUGAAACAGUUCACUUAUCUCCAUACCCAUUUUUGUCCAUCACCUUUCUUCCUUUCACCGUGAAACUUGCCCUUAAUUGCCAUCUUUUUGCUCAUCUACAUCUCUGCAUAUCCGUUUUCCCCUGUUCUAUUGUCAUCCUUGGCUCUUGUGGAUCACUUUCAGGCUUGCUUGUAGCUGCAAUAUCUAUGGACAGUCUCGGAUCCUUUCCUCUUAAGUAGAUUUCCCUUGCGCCAGCACCUCGAUGGAUUCUUCUGCCCAUGGGGAAUAUACUAAUCAUCCCAUUACGGGUUCUUCAGAGAUAGAUCACUUUGACCAUGGCGAUGAUACAUGCCUCGCUGCCCUGUGUAACAGAAUGGGACGUCUUUGGUCAGCACAAACAAUUGAAGUCUGUGAGGAUGAUGCCCCAAUGAGAAAAUUAGAGGAAUGCAAAUUGAUGUUAGUGGGUAAGAUUCUCUCCAACCCGACCAUUAAUUUUCAAGCAUUUCAUAACACUAUGAAAAGAGCAUGGCGUAUUGAUCAAGUAGAUAUAUCUCAGAGCGAAGCUGGUUUGUAUGUUGUUAAGUUUAAAUCGGAAGGGGACAAACAGAGGAUUUUGGAUAAUGGACCUUGGCUAUUCUCCAACUUAGUUAUUUUAAAGCCCUAGAUUCCCAACACUCCUCUGCAUUGCUACGAUUUUACCACAUGUGCUUUUUAGGUCCAAGUUUCCGGACUCCUUUUAGAAUGGUGCACUAAACAUAUGUUAAGCAAAGCUAUGCGACGUGUUGGUCGGGUGUUAGAAGUUAAGGUUGAACAGAGAGAAGGUUUAUCUCUAAAAGCUGGACGAGUCAAGGUAGAACUUAAUUUACAGGAACCACUCAUCCCGGGCCAGCUUCUUAAAUUGGAUGGGAAGACAAUAUGGUUAGAUUUUCGCUAUGAGUGCCUAUCUCACUAUUGUUACUCUCGUGGUGUCUUAGGCCACUAUGCAAUAUAUUGUAAAACAUUUCCAUUUGACAUCGAAAAAAUGGAAGGCAAGGACAACCAUUAUUACGGACAAUGGCUAUGCGCAGAGGUUCGAGAGCAUAGUCCAUUCUGGCGUACCUUUUAUGAGACCAAACUAUCCAUGGAGGAGGUAGAGGAAGUCAACCCUAAGACCCCUUAGUUGCCUACCCACUUGAUCCCUGUCCAUCAAUCUCCUAUAAACAAACAAAAGGAGGUUAUGGAACUACUAGUUGAGGGCCAAAUAAUUACUGUUGCAGCUCCGCUUCAAUGGCAACCACUUGUCCAAGUACCUACGGUCCCUGUUACAGCAAAACCGAUCGCCAAAAUGAAGAAAGUGGAGGAAGGUUCAUCAAAAUCCAGGAAACUGAAACAUACUCGCUUGCACCCUAAAGCUAGACCCAUAAAGAAAGCAAAGAGAUAUAGCACGUCUGACACAUGCUUAUAGAUACCUGAGGGAAUUGAUGAAACCCAACUACAAGAUACUCCAAUCUUUGUGGCAGUAGAAUCUGAUCGCUGGGCGUUGGUGGCUUGCCCUAAACAGCCACCAAGUAACAAAUGAAGCUAGUUAGUUGAAACUGUCAGGGGUUGGGCAAUCUCCUGACAGUCCGAGCAUUAAAGGGCCAUUGUGACCCAAGAAAAGCCUGACGUUCUUUUUUUUUUUUAUGGAGACUAAAAACUAGGAAGUGAUACUUCAAAGGAUACAAAAGAGGCUGAGAUUUCCUAAUAGUGUUAUUGAAAAUCCCAUUGGCUUGGUUGGCGGUUUAGCGGUGUUUUGGAAUGAGGGGGUAUCUUUGAUAGUGGAAUGGCAAACUUUAGCUUUUAUUGACAUGGUAUGUACGAAUAAUGAAAGCGGCACUACAAUGCACCUUACCUGUCUACAUACACCGGCAGUAUUCCAUCUCCGACGGAUGUUAUGGGAUGACUUGAGACAAAUCAGUCGUUCUAAUAUAUUAUCAUGGGUGUGUGUCGGUGAUUUCAAUGAAAUAAUUUAUCCUUGGGAGAAAAUAGGCAAAAGAUCAGGAGACCAACAUCGCAUGCACACCUUUCGUGAACUAUUAAAGAAUGUUUUUUGAUGGAUGUGGCAAGCAAAGGCUGUGCUUUCACAUGGGUUAACAAUAGGGAUGGAGAUGAAUGUGUCAAAGAAAGGUUGGACAAGGUGCUUUGUACAAUGGAUUGGAGAAUUACCUUUCCUGCAGCUAAAGCUUUCACCUUACCUACUCUUGGAUCAGAUUACAGCCCUGUCCUUUUAACAACUGCAAUAAUUCCUGGCAAACGAGGAAGACAUUCAAUUUUGAAUCCUUUUUGGUUACAAGAUCCAGAAUGUUGCACUAUCAUUGUUGCGUCAUGGCAGUCUUCCCAAGCUAGCGGUAAGAACCUACCUCAGAAGUUAAAGGCUGUUUCAGUAGCUCCUACUAGCUGGAGUCGAUCCAAGUUUUUCCAUGGUCAUAAUCAAAUCAAUCUCUUCAAGCAACAGCUCCAAAACCUGAUCAAUCAACCAGAUGGUCAGUAUCACCAAGCGGAGGUCACUCAGAUAAAAGAGAAAAUACAGCUUUUAUAGCAACAGGAGGAACAAUAUUGAGCAAUGCGUUCAAGGCUCAAUUGGCUUAGAUGGGGGGACAAAAACACCAAAUUUUUCCAUGCCAUUACUAUCCAACGACGGCAGUGAAAUCGCAUAAGCAUGUUACAAAAUGAGCAUGAUCAAUGGGUACGUGAACCUAGAAUUUUGAAGGACAUGACAUCAGGUUUUUUUUUUUUUUUUUUUCAGAAUUUGUAUAGGUCUGUGGGAAAUCACGACUAUUGGCUUGUUCUUGCGCAAUGUCUAUCUACGGUGACAGAGGACAUGAAUGUUGCUUUAAUAAAUGAGAUUACUCAAGAGGAAGUCCAAAUGGCUGCUUUUCAAAUGGGAGCAUCCAAGGCUCCGGGACCCGAUGGCUUAAAUGGACAGUUCUACCAAUCCCACUUGGAUAUUUUAAAGGAAGAUAUCUUUCUUUCUGUCAAAGAUUUCUUCCAUUCCGGAGUGAUGCGGCCAGAUUUCAAUAGGACAUUAAUCUCUUUGAUCCCAAAAACUCCUCAUCCAGAAAGGUUAGACCAAUACAGGCCUAUCAGCCUUUGUAAUUUUAUAUACAAAAUCAUUUCAAAGGUUCUUGCGAAUAGACUAAAGCCUUGUUUACUGGAUCUGAUUGCAAAGGAACAAUGUGCUUUUGUCAAUGGAUGUCAAAUCCAGGAUAAUGUUCUCGUUGUCCAAGAGGUUAUCCAUCAGCUUAAGAUUCGAAAGAGGAAAAAGAAUUUUCAAGCUAUCCUAAAGCUUGAUAUGUUAAAGGCAUAUGAUAGGGUGGAAUGGGACUUCCUAAAGGACUACCACACUCAACUCGGGUUUCAUGCACAAUGGGUUCAGUGGGUGAUGCAGUGUAUAACAACAGUUUCCCUUAGUGUCAAGUUCAAUGGCGAACCUCUACCCUACUUUCAUCCAACUAGGGGCUUGAGACAAGGAGAUCCCCUUUCUCCGUACCUAUUUAUCCUAGUGGCAAAUGUCCUAUCUACACUUAUUACUCAAGCAAUGAAUAUGGGCAAUAUCAGAGGCAUAACUUUAAAUAGGUGGUGUCCUAUUCUAUCCCAUCUCUUUUUCACUGAUGAUGCUAUAUUUUUCUUAGACGGAAAACUCUUGGAAUGCCAGAAUUUAGCCAAUAUUCUACACCAAUAUUGUCAAGCUACAAGACCAGAAGUGAACCGCAACAAAUAUGGUAUCUUUUUUUUAGCAAAGCUUGUCCUCAUAGCUUCAGGUGAAUCUAGCUAGAGAACUACGCGUCCCUGUGUUGGCCAAGAUUGGCAAAUAUCUUGGUAUACCAUCGGACUGGGGAAAAUCUAAAAGAGAGAUGUUUGCAUGGAUCCUAGGAAGGGUAAACUCUAAGCUGGAGGGUUGGAAAGAAUAGCUAAUCUCAAAAGGAGGUAAGGAAAUUCCGAUUAAAACAAUCGUCUAAACAAUCCCGCAACAUGCCAUGUCAAUUUUUAAAAUUCCUCUGUCUCUAUACAAGUCUAUUGAACAGAAAAUUGCCAGAUUUUGGUGGUAACCUAAUCAUAGUAAAUCUGGUAUUCACUGGAAGAAAUUGGACACUCUUAAGGAUAGAAAGGACUAUGGAGGACUGGGUUUUCGAGAUCUCAUUGCGUUCAACAAAGCUUUACUGGGUAAACAAGAGUGGCGUAUAACUCAAGAACCCCUUUCUUUAUGGAGCAGACUCUUUAAAGGCUUAUAUUUCCAUUCUACAGAUUUUUUGAAGGCUGAUAAAGGGUCUAGAUCCUCAUGGGGAUGGCAAAGUUUAUUGCUAGACUGGGAUUCUAUAUUACACAAUCUCCAAUGGUCGGUAGGCGACGAACAACGGAUCAAUAUUAGAGAGGAUAAGUGGUUUUCUAGUGGAAUUAUUGGUGGGCCAGCCCCUAGAGGUGAAGUAAAGUGGGUGGCGGACUUUAUAAUUCCAAACCAAAAUGCAUAGAACAAAUCCCUCAUUCAACAAAGCUUUGAUGAUCGGACUAUAAGUGAAAUACUUUCAUUACAGAUUCGGCCUCCUUAUACUACUGACAAACUUUUUUGGAAAGGGCAAUUAAAUGGGAAGUAUACAGUAAAGAGUGGUUAUAACUCUAUAAGAGCACACACCCACAGAGAUAUAUCUAGUACUGCUUCUUCAUCUUACCAAACACCCAGAAAGCUAUGGCAUAAUAUUUGGCAUAUGCAGGGUCCCCCUAAGCUUCGCAUAUUCAUGUGGUCUUUUUGCCAAAAUGCCUUGCCUACAAAGGAGAACCUUUUCCACAAACAUGUCAUCCCAAAUCCAAUUUGCCAAAUGUGUACAGAUCAGGUACCGGAAACUACUGAACACAUAUUUCUGUUAAACACUUGGACGAAAGCUCUAUGGUCUCAUCCACAAGUCAAUUUAGCAUCCUACCUUCAUAGUUUUACCAGAAUCGACAAAUGCCUCGCAGAAUUAAUAGAAAACAGGAAUGCCUUACCUGUUUUGGAGACGGUGGCUUCUCUUAUGUGGCAAAUCUAGAAGAGCAGAAACAAUUUUGUAUUUCGCCAACAAAGCCCAAAUCUUGAGCAGGUUGUACAAUCGGCUCUUGCAAAUGCCAGAUCAACCUUUCUGCAAUAGGGCGUCUGUGAAACCGAUGCUGCAACCAUCAGAUCUUGCUCAAAUGUGGCGUCCACCAGAGCCGGGAGUUAUUAAAAUCAACAUAGAUGGAGCUUACCCGAUCUCGCAAAACGAAGGAGUCGUAGCUUGUGUGUGCCGCAACUCUGUUGGCCACCUGCUCGAUGGUUUUACCAGCACCAUAACCGCAUCUUCGGCACUAGAAACAGAGACACAGGCUUUGAUUCUUAUCCUUAAGUUUCUGCUGUAGAAAGGGAUGAACUACGAUCAUCUCCUGCUGGAAUCCGACUACUUGGUGAUGGUGGAUGCGGUAAGAAACCCUAAUUUGAUUCCUUGGCAACAGAAAGCGCUGUUUGAAGAAGCUAUGGCGUACUUGCCCUGUUUUCCCUUUCUUCAGGUCCAACAUUGUUGAAGGGCCGCCAACUUCAUUGCCGAUUGGGUUGCUAAGUCCCACGGGCUUUCUUUGCUCCCCUCAAAUUAGGCUGUCUAUCCUCCUCCUCACCUCUUGGAUCUUUUGUAUUCUGAAGCUUUGUACAGUGGUUGUUCAUAUGGGAGUUAAUAUAUAAUACCGCUGUUUUCGACAAAAAAAAAUGGUUAUUUGAUUUGUUUGGGAUUUGAGUUGAAAUUUUUGGGUCCAAUUGAUUUGCUUUGAGAUGAGUGUGUGCUCAACUGACCGAGAGAAAUUCCCAAGUCUGAAAGCAUAACCCUGAUCAAGAGAAAUGGACCAAUUGCAAGAUUGCAAGAUUCACUGCGUUGUAAAGAGGGCUAAAAGCAUAGCGUGGCCAUAACUUGGCCAUCAUAAUCUGGUCACUCAAUGAAUAGCAAGCUUGCAAGUUUGAAUUUUGCAUUGUUUUUAAAAUUUUUAGCUGCAAAUAAAUGAACCCGUGAGGGACAAAUUCAAAUUUGAUCAUUAAGGUCAAAGGAAACACAUUAUUUGCACAACAUAUGGUUUUGUUGCCGUGAAACGAUCACCACAACAGCAACAAAAACCACAUUCAUUCCAUUGUUUCAAUACAAUUGCUAAGUAAAAAGACAAGGAAAAAACGUGUCAGCGACACCGCCACCACCACAAAUCAUCAUAAUUUAUCUUUUUGGCUUACUACUGAGGCUACUUAGUUGAUCUUCUGGCAGUCAUUCAAAAUCGUCAUAAAAGCAAAAUUUGCGUUCAGACAGCAUUUUACUUUCAUAGCUCUGUGGACAUUGACAAUGCAAUUUCCUAGCCUCCAAGAAAUCAGCUACAGUUGCACUGUAGCAAGCGAAAAAAAGUGAAGCAGAUUUUUCUGAGAAGAAUCAUCAUAGGAGAGAAAUGAGAAGGACAUCCAUACUUAACACAUUGCUUUAGAACAUUUUAUAGAUGAUUGAUUACAAAUUCAGUUCAUAGGUCACUAUGGCAAGCGCUAGACCCAAUGAACUUACCGCAACUUCUUUUGCAGUGACUUGUUGGCACUUAAUUGUCUCCAACAGGCAUAUGUAGUAUCGUAAUCAUACAUUUGGUGAGCUCCACUGCACUUAACAUGGCGCUUCAAGACCCUGUGAUAGAUUUAUUAGGUCUUUGCUAGAACAUGACAUGCUCUUUCUUGACAUGCAUUACUAGCUUUGCAAAUCCAUCACCUACACAAAGGUCCAGCGGAGAGACAUUUGAGUGAUCGGCACAAUCGGCUAAGGGCCAAUCUUUAGAUUGACUUUACGAAACGUGUGUAUAGUUCUAUACAUGGAAACUGCCCCCUAUAGGACAGACAAUUACACUGUCUUACUAGGACGAGGUAUUUAUCUUUGAAGACCAAAACUGAAACGAUUGCUAGGUAGGACAAGAAGAAAAUUCAGGAUUUUUCUUAGCGGAUGCGAACUCAACAGCCAAGAUAAUUCGGUUUCUUUAAAGCAGAUAAGAGAUAGAUCUUUUUUACUUUAGCGGUUAACUCAGGGGUGGUGGGUCCUCCUGCUUAAGUGUCACUUGGGGGUUUAUGGCGCGGCUAUCGGCUGCAAGCCGGUUCCUCCAAUACCAAAAAAAAAAAAAAAAACAUUAUAUAGACCAAAACUUCUAUUUAGAAUUAACAGAAUUUGAAAUGUUUCAAAAUGAGGUGAGCAAAACUGACUUUUCUGGUAAGUUUUUGCAAAAAUAAAGACAACAAGAACGACUUAAAAGUAGUUAGAGACUAUAAUGACUUAUGUGCAUCACAUUAACACAAUCCCUCUGUUUGCAGUAGACAUCAAAUCAUACUAAACACCUCGGGAAUAAAAGAUGCAAAAACAGUUUUCAUACCUUUAAAAGAUAAAGAGAAGCACCACGCUAAACUUGUAAGCUCAUAUCAAGAUUUUCACUAGGGUAGAUGCACACAAGUUGUCACGCCCCGAUCCUCCGAGUGCGCGAACAUCCCACUCUGGUCGAUAUAAAUGCGACUUCCUAGGACACGUCGCCGACCCAUUUCAUUUUUAUUACGCAUGCGGAAGCGAAACAAAUCCCCUGACAACAUUAAACUUGGGAUAGAAAAGCAGGCAAUCAAUCACAACCAAAAAAGCUUUCUUAUAAACACAUAGGUUUAUAUACAAUAAUGGAUUGUCUACAAAAUAGACAGGCUCAACACUAGGGAACUGUCCUAUGACCAACUUGUCAGACACGUUCACCGAUUCUUCAGCCUCCACCUUCCGAACUCCAGGACUUCCGGUCCUCCACGACCGACAUCUAGGGACCUGAAAUAUUAUCCAACAACCGGGAUGAGACUACGUCUCAACGAGUCCUACCAUCUAAAACUCAAUUAGGAAGAAAAUACGCCUCAGGGCGCUCUAGCCACACAAAUAGGAUAGAGGGCUUACCUCGCCUCAGUCCUUUUCCUACACGUCAGUACAAUUCAUAUUCAAACAAUGCUCGCACAAGCUGAAUCUACCGACAUACCCAUCGGUCUAUCAAUUCAGUCAAUCCAAUUGAUAUCAUACGAUCCACAUAUCUAUCAAUUCAUAUCAUCUAUUAAACCAUACCAUCUAUUCAUCCAUCAAUACAAUUAUGGCUCGCACAAGCUGAAAUGGAUGCAAUGCUCUCACAAGCUGAUAUAGAUGGUAGCUCGCACAAGCUGAUAUAUACAUAGAUGAUAGCUCGCACAAGCUGAUAUAUGGAUCGUUGCUCUCACAAGCUGAUAAACGAUCAUUGCUCUCACAAGCUGAUAUAUAUAUAGAUCGUGCUCGCACAAGUUGAUAAAACGAUCUUAGCUCACCAGAAGCUGCCGCAAUAUUCAAUAUAGUAUACUAUAGCUCACCAGAAGCUGCCGCAAUAUUCAAUAUAGUAUACUAUAGCUCAUCAGAAGCUGCCGCAAUAUAUGUAUAUUAUAAUUGCUCGCCCAAGCUGAUACAUAUCUAUAAACCAAUUCAUAUCUCAAAUCAAUCAAUCAAUCAAUCCAAUCGAUUCAAACUGGUCACACAAACCAAUUACGGUGCUAAAAGCUAACACCGGGUAUUUUCAAGUUAAAUACCACAACUUCAUCAAUAUCACUCAAUUCCACACUUUUGGAAUUAUUAACCAUAAUCAUCAAUCACUCAAUUUCUCAAUUUAAACAUACAAUUAACACAAACCGACCGCACUGCUGCGAUCAGCAUGAAAUUCUAACGACCGGCCAUCCCGGCAUAAUUUUCGAAAUUAUUAAAUAAUUAAAUUUAAUUCCGAAAAUUAAAUAAUUAAAUAUUAUAUUAUAAUAAUAUAAAAUAAUAAAAUAAUAUUAAAAAAUUCGAAAUAAUUAUUUAAUUAAAAAUAAUCAAUUAGGGCUUAAAUUAGAUUACACUAAUUUAAACAUACAAUUAGCCCUAAUUAAAUAUCCAUUAAACUAAUCAUACAACUAAUCUAAUUUACAUUAAAAUAAUCUAAUCUAACCACCUAAACCUAAUUAGACUAAUCUAAACACCCCUUAAGCGUCAUUAACUCACUAAGCAAGAAUUAGAGGAUAAGCUCACACGAUUAACGAUUCGAACGGCUCAAAACGACAAGAACGAUGCGAGGAUCGAUAGUCUCCAAGGCGGGCUUAGCUUCCGGGGUCGGGAAGCCGGCCAAAACGGGCCAAAUAGCCGCUGCCAUACCCACUUUUCUGCUCUCUGUUCGCUGCUGGUUGAGGCCGGGAAAGGGUGGAUCCGGGGCUGAUUAGGGUCGGGAAUGGGCGGAGGAGCUGCAGCGGUGCCGUGCGGCCAACGGCGGGGCCUCACGGUGGUCGGAGGUGGCUGAUCCGAGGCUGGUGCUGUCCGAACAACCUCCUGGACGCACGAGCAGAGAUCGACAAAGACGGCCGGGCGCGGUAGCUCGCGGGUGGACGGACGGCGUGCGAGGGGUGCACGACGGCGGUCUGACCGGACUGCUUGCUGCUCCGGCGUCCUCAGAUCUGCUCGGUCUUCGAGCAGAAACCGGAGAUGGAGGAGAGAAGGCUUCGACGACGCAAGAUGGAGAGAGAGACGGAGGUGAGCGAGCGCGGCCAGUGGCGUGCAAGGACGGCGGACGGCGACGGGCGGCGCUGCUGUUCCAGGCGAUGGACAGCUUCUCCUCUGCGGUUUCUGGGCUUCGAAGAAGAAGAAGAUGAAGAUGGAGAGAGGAAAUGGUCGCACGGUAGGGAGAGGGAGGAGAGAGACAACCGAAUAGAGAGAGGGAGGAGAGAGAAGGAAGAUGGGACCACUUUUCUCUCUCUCAUGGCCCACCAUGACCUCAUGGAUGACCUCACAAUCCACUCACCCAAUCCUCCACAACCUCUUCCAAUGGUUGCAAUUUCAUUUUCCGCCGGGGUCCAAUUCUUGUACACUUAAUUUAAUCAAUUCUCAAUCAAUUCCAUUCAAUUGAAGCUCAAUUAAAUUAACCCAUGUGUCCUCGACCUUCUCAUGACAUUUCCCCAUCAAAUGAUCCAACUUGCAUCCCGAAGAUUCGAUUAAAAAUGGCCCUCUGAUAGUCCCGAACAUAAACGGCCUUACUUUGCUUUUCUGCCAAAAAUCUCGGUUUGUAGAAAAAUCUUCUGGAGAUGAGUCGACAUUCCUAAAAUGAAUUGUGACUUGACGGAACUUCCAAUUUCUGUAAUCGGGUUCAAUUUCACGGUUAAAUUCAAUCUGGCGCGACUUUAGCGCGUCAUAAUCUACCGGGUAGCUUUUAGGAAUUUUCUGUGCAAUUGACCUGUGGUUGAUUAUUUUCAAGCCACAAAGUGCAUCUUCGACACAUUGGCGACUCUUGAUUGUCGUAGAAAUCUCGAGGUUUCAAAUACGGACACAGGGUACCAAAACGAUAGAGAAAUCGGUCUAGUGCCGAUCAACAAGAAUUGUGCAAUUAGAUGGAAUCACCCAUACUAAAUUACAUGGUUCUGUUGAAUCGACCUAUCUCCGGUCUCUAAUCGGUCUGUGCCGUAAUGACCCUUGCAGAUUAGUACAGUCGAGCAGUCGUUUCCUGGUCGAAUUCUCAAGUCUAUUGCGUUUAGAUUCCUUAACGGCUUCACCCGAUAGACUAGUUAUCUUGUGAGUGAUCAGCUCAGAGAAGAAAGCUAUAGACGCGAAGAUGAAAUGCCCGACUUAUUUAAUUGAAACCAGAAUUGGAAAAUCGGGAUGUCACACAAGUAGUAAUGCAUCAAUACUCAAAAAUUGAAACCAAGUUUCAUAAACGUAGAUUACUGAGAUAGUACCGAGUUGCUGUGCGUGAACAUAUCUCUUGGCUCGGCCUCCCUUCAGGCCAUGCUUUUUCCCGAAAGAACAUUACUAGAGAAUACUAUGCCGAGCCUUUAUGUAAAGCAGAGAUCAUGGAAAACUGUCAAACAGCUUCUCUCGUCUCUUUGGUUCAGUAGUCUCUCCUCUAACUCUAAUGCACAUAUAUUCUCAUAUAAAAAGUGUUUACUGAACAAUAAGGGUGAGGGACAGUCUCAUUGAGCCAGUGAUACAGAGAACAAUAGAGAAAAAGUGCUUGAGCUUUGAAUAUCGCUAUUCCACAUCAAGAACAAUAGAUUUCAAAUCAGACACGUAAAUCUCUCUACUUGAUUAUAUAUGUGUUCUUGAUUCUAGUUAUAGAGAUGUGCUUUGGCGGCUUACAAAGCUGGGUUAUACAAGUUGAUGGGUCUAUCGAUGGGUGAAGUUUCUAAGUGAUGAUGGAUUCUAUAGGCUUCUAUUGACUAUACUUCCUCUUGAAGUAUUGUUAGGAAAGUCCAAUGUGUAAUGUGCCUCUCAGUUAGACAUUGUUAGAAAAGAAAUAAAUAAAUGACCCAAGGUUCAUGUGCUAAUGGUGCAUGCAGCUCGCUUAUUCACCAAGAUUUCGGUUAUAAAUUUUAGCUAAUUUGCAUUACUAUAUCUUUGAAAUUUCACAUGAUACAACCCCUUCAAGUUAAACAAGUUUCUUCCAUUGAAUCUUUGCCGAGAAUAAAGCGGCGUACGUCGCAAAUGAUAUCUUUCUGGUGAGAAUUUUGAAGAGAGAAACUUAGAAAACGAAAAUAUUCGCUUACUUUAUGAACCUGUUUUCAAUUUCACAAGUAGGUCCGUUUAUUUGUGGGUAUUUUACUAAGAAAAUCAUCAUUUUCCACAUUCAAAUUGUACAGUAUGUUAUCAACAAAAUAUUUGCUUUACAAGUGAGAACGUUUAUUCAUCAGUAGCUUAAAAAAAGAAUAAUAAUAUUACACGUUCAACUUGCAUAGCUCAUUAUCCACAAAAUUUCAACUCUACGAGUGGGCUCAUAUAUUGAUCAAACGUACCACCAAAAUAAUUACUUUAUUACUUUCAAAUCCCAUAGUAGAUUAUCAAUUGCUUUAGAUUGCAAAAGAGAAUGAGCUAUCAAAGAAAUAAUAAUUUUAUCAUUUUUAAAUUCUAUACGAUUCCAAUUCAUUUCAAGAUUCACAAAUGGGCUCAUAUGUUCCAUCACAUUUACCGCUGGUUCAUGUGGGCCUUGUUGGAAAUCACACGAUUUUGAUGGCUUUCGUGGAUUGGACGUGUAUGCACCCUAAUCAUUUAAUAAUCGCUUGUCCUAACUUCUUCCUUUACUAGGCUGCUUUCGACAAUUCUAGACUGGCCAGCCACAUAUUGGUAUGGUGUAAGGGUGAUCAAUUUUAGAAUAGAUAUACCUCAAACAAGGAACUCAAAUCUAUCUUGUUAUCUUGUUAGAGUUAGUUCCACUUUUAAGAUCGGAAAUUGAGCAGGUUGACUCUAGAAUCGGUAUGGAACCCAACCGAUUGGUUCUAGGCCGAAUCAAGGUCAACUUACGAAACCGGUCUACCUUUUCCCUAUUUUAUUUUUUAUUUCAUUGCUUAAUUAUAUGCAUAUUUUUAGAGUUAAAAGCAUCACAAGUUUUCCAUAACUUUCAUAUGACAUUCAUUUUUUUUUUCGAUCACUUGAGUGACAUGACUUCUAAAAAAUAUUCACUUGAAUAUCACAACUUUAGAAAACCAUUCACUCACCCGACAUGGCAUAAUACUUGCAGUUACCAUUCCUAAAAUAAUUAUACAUCUCAAGUAAUUGAUUGAAAAAUCAUAUGGCACUCAAUUGGUAAAAAAAAAAAAAAAAAUUAUAACACUCAAAUAUGCUCUAUAUAAAAGUUGUGGCACCUAUAAUAUCAUUUUUCUCCAUAUUUUUGCUAAAAUUCCCAAUUGGGAAACCAUAAUGAACUGCUUAUGCUGAAAUGUUUAGCUUCAUUGUCUUUGCAAAAGAUUUUAACUAAGAGACUUGUGCAAUCUGGUUUUGAAAUGGUUCAAAUAUGAUUCUAUGGAGAGCAAGCCUUGAAACCUAUUCAAAACUAGUUCAACUCGAGAGUUGGAAACUAAGGAUGCAUUUGGUAACGUUUCUGUUCAAAAAUUGUUCUAGAGAACAUAAAUAGAAAAAACUAUUUCUGUUCUAGGGAACAAUUUUUUAAUAGAAGAACGCGUUUGGUAAACUUGAUCUUGAAAUAAAAAAAAGAACAGGAACACACUUGGUAAACUUGUAUAAUUUUUUUGUCUUUUAAUAUUUUAAUAUUUUAAUUUUUUUCCUUUUUUUUUCUUUUUCCUUUUUUUUUUCUUCAUUUUGGCCGGUCACCGGCCUUGGCCAUGACCGGCGACCGGCCGACAGGGGCUGGCGGCCUUGCCCAGCCACGGCGAGGCUUGCCAACCCCCGGUGAGGCCAAGCCUCGCUGUGGCUGGGCGAGCUCGGCCUCGCCGGGGGCUAGCGACGCUCUAGUGAGGUCGUCGGUCCUAGAGGGCGUUGCCAACCCUCGACGGCCGGUCGCUGGCCAUAGCCAAGGCCAGCGACCAGCAAAAAAAAAUGAAGAAGAAAAGAAAUAGAAGAAAAAAAUAGGAGAGAGAAAAUUUGUUUCUUGAAAGUGUUCUAGGAACAAGAAACAAGUGUUUUUUGUUUUUUGUUUCUAUUCCAAAUUUCUUCUUGGGAACAAAAAAAUAGAUUUGGAACAAAAACACAAACAAACACGUUUCUAUUCUUUUUUUGUUCCCCAAAAAAAAAAAAAGGAAUUGUGUUCAUGAACAAAAAAAAAAUGAACACAAACAAACACACUCUAAACAAUUCAAGGCUGGGUAAAGCCGGUUGGGUUCGCUUGUCAAAUAAAACAAGUUCUAUUGCUCAUCCCUAGUGUGUUUAGAUUAUUUAGUCGCUAUCCCAAGUUUUCUUCGAAAUGGAGCCAAAAUGUCGAACCAAAAUGACCUUUCCAACAUCCUUCGAACAAAGUUUAUCAUUUUCUGGCCAUGUCAUCGUCCGGCUCAUCGAUUCCUCCGAAAGAAACAACAAAUGCCAAAUCCAAUCAAACAUUUUUACUUCAUAAGAAUACCCUUUAUUGUUAUUUUCCCGGUUGCCAUUUCCUUUCUUGUUUGCUCCCCAGAAAGAGCCAUGCAAUUAGUCAUCUUCUUGAGCUCUCUGUUUCUGUUUCUUGUUCUCUGGUCUCUAGCCAAGUUAUUGCACAAGCUAUGGUGGAACCCGCUCAGAAUACAGAGGAUGAUGGCCCAACAGGGAAUCACCGGCCCUCCCUACAGGUUCCUCCAUGGAAGCACCAAGGAAACAAUCAAGAUGCAUAUGGAAGCCAGGAACACACCCAUGAGCAAUCUCUCUCACGACAUAUUCCCCAAGAUUCAGCCUCAAAUCAACAAAUGGAUAGGCACAUAUGGUAAAUACCAAAAAAAACUUUGCUUUAUUACUGUUGUGAAAUAUAAAAUUUGGGCUUUCGUUCAACUUCGUAGGGAGAAAUUACUUGAGUUGGCUCGGACCUCAAGCUCAGCUAGUCAUCACAGAGCCAGAGCUGGUUAAGGAGGUGCUGCUCAAUAGAGAUAAAACAUACCCGAAAACAGGAAACAGGGGCUUCCCCAAGAAGCUUCUAGGAGAUGGGCUCGCGAGCACACCAGGUGGCGAGAAAUGGGCGAAGAAGCGCAAACUUGCCAACCGUGCUUUCCAUGGGGAAAGUUUGAAGGUACUUGAACUCGAUGAAAAAAGAGAAUUGUGUGAGUUGAAGUUUUACUAUUUAUUUCUGGGAAAUUUUGAAAUUGCAGAAUAUGGCACCGGCAAUGGUGGACAGUGUUCACACAAUGCUAGAAAAAUGGAAGAAUCAAGAAGGGAAAGAGAUCGAGGUGUUCCGAGACUUCAAGGUAUUGACAUCUGAAGUGAUUUCAAGAACUGCGUUUGGAAGCAGCUACAUCGAAGGAAGGAAUAUUUUUCAGAUGUUGACAGGAUUGGCUUUGUUAACAUCCAGAAAUGCUUUCACUAUAAGGUUACCAGGACUAAGGUAUUAAACGUUUCCUGGGAAAAAAAAAUUCUUUUGCCUAUUAUAGGAUGCAGAAGCUAGGAAAGUCCAGUGAGCAAAGGCCACUUUUAUAUUGAACUUUAGAUUUUUUAAUAUGAUAAUUCUAUCGAAAUUUUCCAGUUGAGUAAAUGUAUUUGAAGGAGAGAAUUUUUUUUUUUUGAUAACCAUUCUUGAUAAUUUUUUUUUUUGAUAACCAUUCUUAUUGCUAUUAUUACUGAUGUAAGAUCACACUUAGCAAGCUGAAAAUUCCUGCAUGGAGACAACAACUUGUUCAUUGUGCAAAUACAAACUUCAAGCCUUAAUGUACUAAGGCAUUUUACACCUUAGAAUCAGAGUUUCAAUUAGGCCUGAAAAAUUAUGGAAUUUAUUCUGAAUCCUGCUGACAGUAAGCUUUGGAAGACGGUGGAUGAAGUCGAAGCGGAGAAACUUGAGAAAGGCAUAUGUGAUUCCAUCGUACAAAUGAUCAAGAGAAGAGAGAAGAAGGUGAUGGCUGGUGAAGUAGAUUGCUUUGGGGAUGAUUUCCUAGGACAACUUGUGAAGGCUUUGCACGAUGCGGACAAGAGCAAAAAAAUUACGGUCGAUAAUCUGGUGGAUGAGUGCAAGACAUUCUAUGUUGCCGGACACGAAACCGCCAAUUCACUGAUGGCAUGGAUGUUAUUUCUCCUAGCGAUUUAUCCAGAGUGGCAAGAGGAAGCAAGAAUGGAGGUUCUUAAUGUAUUUGGGAAUAAAGACCCUAAUUUUGAUGGACUUGGAAAACUAAAGAAGGUAUAGAAAACGAUUUGAGUCUGGGUCUCGGUCGACCUUUUUUGGUUCAUUUAAAUUAUAGGUUAGACAUGAUGCCAAACUAAUUAUGUUCCCCUUUCCUGUGCAGAUUAGCAUNNNNNNNNNNNNNNNNNNNNNNNNNNNNNNNNNNNNNNNNNNNNNNNNNNNNNNNNNNNNNNNNNNNNNNNNNNNNNNNNNNNNNNNNNNNNNNNNNNNNNNNNNNNNNNNNNNNNNNNNNNNNNNNNNNNNNNNNNNNNNNNNNNNNNNNNNNNNNNNNNNNNNNNNNNNNNNNNNNNNNNNNNNNNNNNNNNNNGUAGCUAAAGCUACCAACAACAAGGCCGGUUGUGUUCAUCCCCUUCGGCUUUGGACCUCGAUCUUGUGUCGGGAUGAGCUUCGUGAUGACUGAAGCGAAAGUCGCCCUUUCGAUGAUUCUCCAACGCUACAGCUUUGAGUUGUCCCCAGCGUAUAUCCAUAGCCCAGCUCAUAUCGUCAUGAACCGACCGCAACAUGGACUUCAAAUCAGAUUUCAUCCUCUGCAGUAGUUCAUCAACAUAUGAUGUUCAGUUGCAAAUGUGCAUAAAUGCCUCCAUAGAUCAAUUUGACAAUGGCUCGUGAAUUCUUGGCUCCAGAGGCUUGUGAUAUGUAUGAAGGUAUAAAGAACAUCUUUCUCUUAAUAUGCAUAGUAUUUUCUCAGUAUAUAAUGUAUAUGGUAUGCCAAGACUCUUCAUGAUGUAAAAUCUUGUGUCCUAGUUCUUGUAAGUCGUCAUUUUUUAGGCAUGUACCUCCUAUAUGUGUGGUUCUGUGUGGUCGAACAUUUAUUGAACAAAGCAAAGAAUGAAUGUCUAAUGAUUGGCUGGAU
rnacentral:lncRNA from 1 species